ACAUAAUGUAGACACAAUGACACUAAUCAAUAUAAUAAGACCUCAGAUUUGAUCCUUAGUAGCAACAACACAAAUACAUGCCCUCGUCCUUUAAUUUGCUCGACAGGAUCACCGUAAGGUUGAACCUACUACAAACUUGGCCAAAGUAGACUAAUAGAUCGAAGAGAAAUACAAAGCUAUAAAUUUACGCAAUAAAGAAGGCUCAGAAAUUCAAAAUAGAUCAACAAAUAGUGUGACCAUAAACCCACAAUACAUUAGAUUCCAACAAAUACAUUGCAAAAAAUUACAUCAUAUUGAUCUUAGAAAACAUCAUUAUAUUGAAGAUCAAAAUAAACAGAGAAAGAUAUCUAGUUUAUGCUAUAGACAUGUAGGUCCUGAAGGAACUGCUCACAUAUCAUCAUGAAGAUAGCAAGGUUGGUGAAAAAUGAUUUCCCCCCUCCGAGAGAGUAUCAGAAAAGGUCUCGACAAGGGAGGCUCAGCAAAUAACAGAUCUCCCAGGCACCACUUUCCCUCAGUCCAGGAAGGGAAGCGAGCUCUCAAGGGUCCUAGGAUAAAAUAGGUAAUUAACAUGUUUCCGCCCGAAGUGAUAGACAAAGGCUUUACCCAUUGGCAAGUAACGCUUGGAGGAGUGGAAAGUAACUGAACUAAUGGACGAGGAGGACGAGAAUAUAGAAAUUUUCCGACAUUCAAGCACACUAUAAAUGUUCCAGAGCUCCUAAAAGUAAAGUUCUAGUAGAAAGGACAACUAAGAGAAAGGCCUUCUUAUGCCCAAUUUCCUAUCAGUGGAAUCCAAGAUCAGACAAGAAAAAAGCUAAAGGCUAGGCAAAGAAGAUGAGGGAGAUGGUGGAUUAUACCAUGAUCGUCCUUCUUAUACUAGUGCAGGCGGCUCCUAUACAAACGGUUUUUACCCCUUUUUCGCGAUGGAGUUUUAAACUGUCACCUUGUCUAUGUGGACAAUAGGGGGGAGUAUCUCAUACGACACUGAUAAAUCGUUGGCUAUGCCUCAUCCGUUCACACACGAUAGGCGAAAAUAGAUCAUGUGCAAUUGAGAGAGCCAUCAUAAACAAACAUAUUUUAGAAGUCGCGUGAGAUGUUCUUAGCAUCCCACACAGUGAAUCCCAAAGAUAUAUUUCCUUUCGUAUUAUACAUCCCACACAAUUUCCUGCAUAACAUUGUUUGUGAUAGAGCUCUCCAUCGCACACAAUAGUUUUAAUUAUGUCGAUUGCGUUAUUUAAUACAUCACACACGGUGCCUAGAAGAAACUUUUGGCAUAGGGUUGUCCAUCGCACACUUUUUAUGUGAAAACAUUCGUGAUAGGUGGCCUAAUGCACACAGUUGUCGACCAAAAGUCGUGUGACUUCACUCGUCCAACACGCCAACUUUCUAAAAAUCAUGUGGUUAGUUGAGGUCAUCGCACACAAUGUUGUCUGAGAAACCGUCUGCAAUAGAAAACCCCAAUAAGCAGCCUAAUUGCCCUAUUAUUCAUAAUCUGUUUAGUAAUCAAAUCGAUACUUCAUAUCAAACAAUAUAUUUCAUAUUCGUAUUACAGCAACCAAGAUUUCUUAACUGAAAUACAUCAGAUUACACAUCAUAUAGGCAUAUACUACCUAGUUACCCAAUUACACUACAUGAUCAAAUUUCACAUGCAACAUCUAAAACCUUUGGAAAGUAGCAUCAUAUACGGUAAAUAGACAUAUGAAUCUCGUCUAGAAAACUUUUGAAGCGCAAGGCAAGUAUUGAGUCUUGAUUGAUGUUGAAGGUCCUUGCAACUUUAGGCCAAUGCCUUUGGAUGGUUGCUCGCCCAUCCUUCAUCCUCUUCAGAAAGAUUUUAAGAUUAUACUGUGGGUGUUGUAUGAAUACCUUCCUCGCCUCUUGACCAUAUAGAUUGUUUGGGACAUAAUCAUCGAUGAAUAGCUUUGGAAAGGACUGUAAACAAAUUUAUGCAUAAAUUUUGUUUCUAAAAGUUCAAAUGAAGAAAAGGUAAAACAGAGAAGAUAAAAGAGAUAAUAUCAUCUUAUAGUUGACUAAUAUCUUUUUCAUUGUGAAGACAAACAACUUGUUAUUUUUUGUCGCUAAUUUCUUGAUCUUAACAAUCUUCCUGAGUUUUUUUUAUUUGACUGAUAUUCAUGAACACCUUAUUUUCUCAUAUGCAAAAUGGGUCGAACAUUGGGUCUAAACAUCAUACAAUAGGACCUACAUAUGUAAGACCAAAUUAUUGGAAACCUAAAUAUUAGAACGAUUCAUGCAAUUGCACAAAUAAUAUGCUAUUAUCCAGAGGACAAUGCAUGUGCAAACCUCGAUGGUAAACUUCAGUGUCUCCUAUUUUUUCUCCUGCAAUGUAUAUAAGGUAGAUAUUGAUCAGGUUAUAAGUGAUAAAAUAUGUUAAUGAAAAAUAAACACAUCGCAGAUCCAACAUAUUAAUUUCAGCCACAUGGAAAAGCCAUUUAAACCAAGUGUGGUAAGAACCAGGAAAUAUAGCAAUGUAUAUGUUUCAUAUGUAUUUAGUACAUUCAAAUUCGAUUUUUUUUAUUUUCUUACAUGCAUAACAAUACAAAAUUGUAUCAACAAUAAUCGAACACCACAUUACAGAAUUGAACCAAAUAAUUAAAUGAUCACCAUAAUAAAUGAAUCAAACAGUUAACUGAGCACCACAUCGCACAAUAGAACAUACCAUGAGGUCAAAUUGCAUAGUAACAUUACAUUUGACAUUUUACUAGAAUUUCUAAAUGAAAGAAAAGAGAAACACAUGCAACAUGCAAACCAAACAUGCUUAACCGGCGUAGCUAGCUGAACAUAGGUCCUUAGUAAUAAACCUAAAAAAACAAGUUAUUCCUCAUCGUUGGAGAUAUCGAUGAUGAUGGGCUCCUUAAACUUGGAAGAGGGCGAGGCCGCCACAUCGUGGAUGCCCUCCUCGUAGUGAUGAGUGGCCUGAGCCUGUCCGGGCACCAACCUAUCGGUUCUCGAGCCUAGGUAAGUGCGGACACACUGAGAAAACACGUUGUAGUCUUCAUCGAAGACACCGGCGUUGCCCUCGAGAAAAAACCAUGAACUAUCGUUUAAAGAAGCCAACCGCAUAGUGGUGUCCGCGCGCGACGCGCCAUUGGUGGCCUCGACAACGAGGUGUACCUCCAAGAUCUGGGGGUCGACACGCAUGGCAGCCAUCGCGGCCUCAUCCGCGCGUGCAACCGCAAUUUCCGUCUCUGCUGUCAAGUGCGAGAUCUUGGCUAUACUGCUUGCACCAUGACUUUCGGCGGCGAUUAUUUGAAGGUUGGAUCGGUAAUUUGGGUGAAAUGUGUCGUGCCGACUAUCGGGGCAUGUAGGAUGGAGGAGAAGGUGAUGUGAGAGAUGAUGUAUGAAUUAGGAGGUAUGGAUUACCUGAUUAGAUGAUAACCACAAUUGAUUGUGAAAGCUUUCACCCUAAGGGAGCUUAGUGCAUUAAAGCAUGCAUGUUACUCCCUGUGUANNNNNNNNNNNNNNNNNNNNNNNNNNNNNNNNNNNNNNNNNNNNNNNNNNNNNNNNNNNNNNNNNNNNNNNNNNNNNNNNNNNNNNNNNNNNNNNNNNNNGUGGCUCCACCCGGGACUAAAGGGCGUCUUUAGUCCCGGCUCGAGCCCCGACCCGGGACUAAAGGCCCCUGCUUCCCGCCUUUUGGUCUGCCGAAAAAGGGCCUUUAGUCCGGGGUCGUGGCUCCACCCGGGACUAAAGGGUGUCUUUAGUCCCGGUUCGAGCCCCGAUCCGGGACUAAAGGACACCUAUAUAAGCGGGAGUUAGAAAAUUUCCAAGCCAAAUCGCAUUUCGUUCUCUCUUCUUCCUCGUUCUCCUUCCCGGCGUGGCACCGCGACGAACUCGACGACGCCGUCAGGCUGCCCGCCGUCCUCCUCGCCGCCGCCUGCCGUCCUCCUCGCCACCGCCGUCCUCCCCGCCGCCGCCUGCCGUCCUCCUCGCCGUCGUCGACGCCUCCGGCCAGUAAGCCCCCCGCCCCCUCCUCCCCAACACUCCGGCCGGUAGAAGAAAAGGAGAAAAAGGAGAAGAAAAGAAGAAAUAGGAGAAGAAAAGAAGAAAUAGGAGAAGAAAAGAAGAAAAAGGGAAGAAAAGAAGAAAAAGGAGAAGAAAAGAAGAAAAAGGAUAAGAAAAGAAGAAAAAGGGAAGAAAAGAAGAAAAAGGAGAAGAAAAUAAGAAAAAGGAGAAGAAAAUAAGAAAAAGAAGAAGAAAAGAAGAAAAAGGAGAAGAAAAGAAGAAAAAGGGAAGAAAAGAAGAAAAAGGGGAAGAAAAGAAGAAAAAGGAGAAGAAAAGAUUAUUUUUUUGUCAUUUAAUUCCUAUUGUUAUUAGGUUUGUGCUAGAUUGAAAAAAAGAAGAAAAGAAGAAAAAGGAGAAGAAAAGAUUAUUUUUUUGUCAUUUAAUUCCUAUUGUUAUUAGGUUUGUGCUAGAUUAUUAGGGUUAGUAACAUUUAGAAUUAGGUUAGGGUUACAAGAAGAAGAAAGAUGAACAAAAAUAAGAAAAUAAGAUUAGGAAAAAGGAAAAUAAGAAGAGGAGGAGAAGAAAAGAAGAAAAAGGAGAAUAAGAAGAGGAGGAGAGGAGAAGAAGGGGAAAAAUAGAAGAAGAGGAGAAGUAGAAGAAGAGAAGUUGAAGAAGAAGCGGAGAAGAAAAUAAGAAAGAAGAAGAAGAAGAAGAAGACAUUUCUACGUAUAUAGAUGCUUAAUUAGUGUUUCUUAGAUUAUUGCUUAAUUUUGCUAUUGUAUAUGCUUAAGUGUUAAUAGUUUGUUUUACUAUAUAUACAAUUAGUUUAUUUUUAGCAAGAAAAUUAAUAGAACUAGUUUAUUUUUUUAGUUCAAUUUACAAUGCCUAUCCCGCAUCCUCGUCGUCGACUCGGCGGAGGACACCUGCUUGAUCAGAGGGGCCAUGUCCGGGAAUGGGCUCCGCCCGACUGGUAUUGGGAGGUGCUACCUUCCGGGGGGCGUAGGUUGGUGAGGAGCCUGCCCGUUGUUGACCCGCUCCUUGUUUGGUGGCGGUCGCGUGGGCCAGUGACGGUGCCGAGGCUUCCGGACACCGCGGAGGUGGUACGUCACUGUGUCAGCGAGGAGGAUGAGCACGUCCGUCGCUACAUGGUUGCGUUGGAGAGCAGGUUCGAGCAUACCUGGCAGGUUCUUCAGGGAUCACACUGGAGCUAUGAUCCUGUGAUGGUUCCUUCUCUUUGGGUGUCCACAUCCCACGACGAUACCCGUCGGGCGCUAUGGUUCUAGCUGUAUCAGUGAUGCUAUAUGUAUGAUAGUAUUCGAGGAGUAUUAGUGAUAAUAUUCGACGAUGUACGGACAAAACAGAUGAUGUAGUUUUGCUUAUAAUUGAAUGCAUGCUAAUUUAAAUACUACUUUAUUUUAUGAUUUGGUUUUGCUUAUUGAAUGCUCAAAUUGGAAAAGUACUCCUACUUUGAAUACUAUGCAGAAAUCUAGGAGUCCCGGGUGGAUCCACGACCCGGGACUAAAGUUGUUUUGGAACGGAGUUCCUGAUAGAAUAAUUCUUUUUUGGUACAAAGUUCAACAAAGUCCUUUGACACUAGACAAUGUGACAUAUAGAAGGGUAGAUGAGAUCAUGAAAAAUAGGAUCAUUUUCUACACAUCUAGAAUGUCGCCAUUUUGUUAAAUCCUUAAAGGUUAAGAGAAUCCGUUAGACAUAUUUUAGAGUUUAGGUUCUAGCCAAGACCCGGGACUAAAGGUCCUCCUAUAUAAAACGACACUUCGAAGUUUCCAACCCCUCUUAUAUAGUUUGUUAGUUUAUUAGUUAAUCAAAUGUCCGUUUUUUGCAGAACUAUGGAUCCACAUAUCAGGAACCUCAAAGAGGAAGAACUUCUCAAAGAUAUAAUCAAAGACGGCCCCGACGUUGAACCAGGUGAAUCUCCGUCGUCAUAUCAAAACCCCUCCGGAUAUGGAAUGGAGGUCGAACGACACAAAGAUGAAGCCGAUGUGGCAGGAGAUAGGUCCAAUGACGGAGAAGGUGAUAGCUCCACUGAUAGAGAAGCCGGUGGAGAAGCCGGUGGAGAAAUAAUAAAGUCCGGCGAGGUAUACAUAUGAAGUUCGACAAUCACUUGUAAUAUGUGAAAAAUAUUGGAGAUAGCUCUAUAUUGUAUACAUAUACAUUCAUUUGACGAAUGUUUCUCCCUCUUAGGCCUCCACAUCGAGCAAAACUACGAAACGAGGCCCGACUAGAAAGUUGGAUGCACGGACGCAUUACACCUUUGAGGUGAUAUUGCCUACGGGCGAACCCAAGUUUCCUAAGAAUGCUGCUGACACAUUCAAGAAGUAAUGCGGAGUUCUCAUUAGGGAUCACGUUCCGAUCAGCGUUCGGGAGUCGAACAAGCGCAAAGGGGCAGCCGAUAGUGACUAUGUCGCCGAAAGGUACAAAGAUAAUCUUUGGAAUGAUCUCAUGUCACAUUUCAACCUGCCAGAAUGUGAGAAUGAAGACGCCGCAAAAAAACUGAGGGCCAAAGUCAAGCAGUGGACUCUAAAGAAGAUGGCCGAACUGUUCUGUAGCUGGAAGAAGAAGCUAUGGAAAAACUAUCUGAAGACAAAGAAAGUGCCAGUAUUUGAGGGGUACCUAGCCAAGCAGGCGAAUCACUGGAAGGCAUUUCAAGAGUACAAGGAGUCAGAAGAUGCCCAGGCAUUAUCAGAAAAGAACAAGAAAAAUGCCGACAAGAAGAAAUAUUACCACAAGCUGGGGCCAGGGGGAUAUGAGACUGCCAUCCCAAAGUGGGAUAAGAAAGAGCAAGAUCUGCUAGCUAAAGGCAUNNNNNNNNNNNNNNNNNNNNNNNNNNNNNNNNNNNNNNNNNNNNNNNNNNNNNNNNNNNNNNNNNNNNNNNNNNNNNNNNNNNNNNNNNNNNNNNNNNNNAAAGGUAGAUACAACUAGUUUAUCUGUUAUACUUAAUUUUUUCUGUUUUCUACUCCCUCCGUUCCAUAAUAUAAGUCUUUUUAGAGUUUUCACUAGAGGACUACAUACGGAUGUAUAUAGACAUAUUUUAGAAUGUAAAUUCAUUCAUUUUGGUCUGUAUGUAGUCCCUUAGUAAAAUUGCUUAAAAGACUUAUAUUUAGGAAUGAAGGGAGUAUUUCAUUAGGGGUGUUGCAGCUCGUAUUAGGAAUUGUCAAGAGCUGACAUGUCUUCAUAUCUCAGGUCUUAGUACUUGUUUGUUAAUUCAUGGGUUGUGUUUGAACAAAGGAAAGUAGUGGUCCAUGCCAUCAACACAACGUGAGAUCAGAUAACGGGAGCGAGCUCCGCCGCCGCCUCUAGAUCUCCCUCCCCCGGCCACCUCCUCCACAACAAAGAGCAUAUAUGGCACUCUCGAAUCACCCUCUGUCUAUCAUCACGCCCCAGCAUGGUCCCCGCCUCGGGCGUCUCGGAUGGAUCCUCAAACCCUAGCCGCCAGGGUCACCAUCACCUUCAUCCUUUCCUUCUACCGUUGCAGGAGGACACGACUGGGCUGUCAGCUAACAGUUGCAGAUGCUGGGAGUCUUUUCUUCAGUUUCGUCAGACUACCACCCGGUGUUCUCCCUCUCCGUCAGUUUCGUCAGAGAGGAAAGCGCCACCGUAUCUUUCGUUUUUUGAUUCCAAAUAACCUAAGCUGCGACUCGGGCGUAGACUAGGGUAGAUCUUCCUUUAGCUGCGGCCUUGACCUGAUCGUGGGAUGGCACGAACAAGAUGGUCAUGGGCGCAUCACGGGCGAAGCGCGCGGGGCGUUGGGAUGGCAACGCACACGACCUGCUCCUUCCCCGAUUCUCUCGUUUUCAGUUAGCUUUGUAUUCGUUGCUUAAGUGGUGGAAUGAAACAGAGAAGCUGCACUUGCACGUGGCACAAAACCUCCUUCGUCUACCUCUAACCAGAGUGAGAGAGAGAGAGAGCAAGCUCGAGCGGUUUAGGGUCUAACAUGGGCUAAGCCCGGCAGACGAUGGCAGUGGCGGGGUUCUCCUCCUUGUCUCGCGUAGGAGGGGGUCGGGCAGGACCUCCUCGUGCGAGACUGCACGACCACCAUCCAAUCAUGGCGGCGCGAGGUGUGCUUCGGGCGGUGGUGGCGUGGAGAGGGCGUCUUGAAGGGUCGGGUUGGCCAGAUCGGGUCGGGUGCAUGCGUGGGUCUCCUGGUGUCUUGGCCUGGAUCUUGGGCAAUGACCCUGAAAGGUGGCGGCGGGUGAAGCUCAGAUGAUCCGCCAUGCCAUGGCGUGGUGAUAUCGAUGCCAUGCCUUGCGGACGAAGCGCACUUUUGUUUCGUGUCGCGUGGUUGGAGUUACUCUUAAGUACCAGCACGAAUUCAUCCAUCGAAAAAAAGAUGCUCAAAUUAGUGAUUUCGCCGACAGCUUCAACGUUUAAGAGAGUACUAUGUUUAGAAAAACUUCACGCUUAUGGCCCCAGCCAACAAUGACCAAGUCAGCAAGAAAAUAUGAACCAAAGCAAUAUGGAGACCACUUAUUUCCCUUGCCACAGAGCCACCUCGUUCCAACCCUCCGUAGGGCAUUUCCUGCCCAACCGCCUUUUUUUCUAAGCUUAUGUGCAUCAUGGCGAACCUUUACAACAGACAGGGCCACCUCUGUCAUUGCCCGUGCCGUUGUCGUCAUCAUUGGAGUGGCCAUUCCAAUGGUGGAAGAGCGCAAGAGUGCUACACCGCUGCCGCCCGCGGAGAAGCCGCUCUCCUUCCUCCUGCAUCGUGCCAAGGGCCACCACGGCCAAUGCCGACCCUAGCGGCGAUCUUUGCCCUUGACGUUGUCAACAGACGUCUCAGUGGUGGUCAACCGGUCGUGGGCCCAUACCUUCAUGAGGUCGCAUAUUCGCCUGGAGUCGGACCUGCGCGUCGACGGACUUGGUAAAUGCCGAGUGGAACAUCAUGUGGUGCCGCUCCCGACACACCGCCUCCCUAGCCUCCCUUUAGUAGUCCGACAUGAUGCUCCACGACAACGAGGAGCCGCCGAUGUCGCGGUCACCAAGGUAGUGGAGGAGGCGACCACACGCCUUCACGGUCGCUUGAGGAACCUCCACCUUGAUGGCCUUGUCGCGCCAGACGUGGGGCGAUGGUAACGCCGAUUGGUCCAUAUGGUCGUACCGACAAUGUAGCAGCGAUGUCAGCUUGUCCUUCAUGCGGCGUACAAAUUGGACAUCGUGGUUGCGCACAGGGGAUGUCGUGUCAGCCUUCACGUGAAGAGGCAGCGAGGCUAGAUCCGCCUUCACAAGAUGGUGAUGCAGCGACACCAGCUCCGCUUUGAUGCAGGCUCACAACAAUGAGGGCAGCGCCGGACCAUGGUCACGGAGCCACCUCUCCAUCAUGAGCUCCAUUUGCCAUUGGAACUCAUCCUCGAUGACCGCCACCUCCGCCAGGAGGCACGGCUACUAUAGCGACUGCUCCUCAUUGUUGCCGGAGGAUACGAUGAUCUCCUCCUUCUCGAAGGAGCCGAUAGACCUGUAGGCAAUGGCCUCAGAGAGUGAUGACUACACCCCUAAGAUAUGGAUCCGAGAGGGGAUCUAGAGCCACCGCCACCUACCAGCACGGAGAAACCUAACUUAGGCACAAUGUGGACAAGGAAGUUUGGAUGGUGUUUGAGCUGAGAGGAUAUUUCAGAGGCUGGGAACGGAGAGGACGAUGAAUGGGGCAAUGUGUUGUGGAUCGAUGGUGCCACAACCUUGCUUUAAUACGACCGGCCAGGCGAACAAACAGGAAUCCAACUUCAUUGCUACGCAUCUGCCGGAGUAGGCUUCUUGGUUGCCGUGUCAGCAUUUAAUUAGUGAUGAUGGCUCCUCUGGCCGCAUCACUCUAACCGACAUCAAUGUUGUCGAGUCAUAUCUGCUCUGGAAUGGCGCUAACUAGCAUGAAUACGCGGCAACCUCUUCGCGUAGAGAGGGUUUUUCAGACGAAGAGAUUUUUGGACACGAUAUGGUAGUGGUUCAGAUGUCUGCAAAUCCCUCCCUAGGUUGCGUCCGGUUUGUGUGAUUUUUGACAACCGAAUCAAUCCAAGGACGAAUAGGUGCAAGAUCAAAAGUAGAGCUUUAUGUCGAUGGAGGUCCCUCGGCUUGGGCAUGCCGCAUCAGCAAGGAAUAUUGCUGCUCGCACCAUCAACCUUCAUGUAUACUCAUCGUUGCCCAUGCAUCCGACAAGAAACACCUGGCCUCGACCACUCUACUGUGAACCUCAAUACUCUGGCAAUCCAGCACCCUUAACCCACCGACUUCAAGAUUACACACCUCGUAGGUCGUCGACCCUUGUUGUCGUCAUGACAUGGUGACCGAGGUAGUGACCUCCAUGACCACUCUUUGUAGUUUAGUGGCGGAAGCGCCCACAUCUCCUCAUGACGCAGGAGAGUGCACAAGGGUUAUAGUCCUGUGACAAAUUCAGAAGUAGUGCCCUUUGGCACAACAACAAUGUGGCCUUCAAAAUGCUACCCUAUAGAUCGGCGACAUCCUUAACACACAAAGAACCCGCGUAGAGGCGUUCCCACUGCACAUGACGAUGCAUCGCGACCACGUAACCCCAAUGCGGCUUCCCAUGGCAAUCCGCCCUGAAGGGCGAGGGGGAGGGGGUGGCUGUCACGACCUCUGGUGGGUCCUGUUAACAACUCAACGUGGUGACCCGUGGCGAGGAUUCGACGACCCAUGCAGAAGGUCGAAGGCACUCCGGCCAACCCGACUACUAUGGAUAUGUUUAUUUGUCAUCUCUAAAAAUGCCUGCAUUGAAUACUUGUCCCACUUUAGCCUGGCUAAAUGAAAACGAAAAAACAAACAUAUGCUGCAUUUUGUCCCACUUUGGUUGCCCGCAUCGAGGUUGGUUGUAUUAGGGGCUCGAUUUUCACAUGGUUUUGAUGUCCUGCAUUGACUCGAUACACGCAAACUAUACAAUGUUUGGUUGUAUACACGAAAUAUAAUUAAUAAUUAACAUUUGAAUAUAACAAACAAUCAAUGGGACCAGUUUCCCGCGUUCACCAUCGAACACGCUCCGCCUCGAAACCUUGUACCAGGCUGCGAAGGACGCAUCCACUAGUGCCACGGACGACUGCGGUGGACAAUGACACCAAAUUCGUCAUGUCCUCGUCGGACUGGGCGUCACGGUCACUGUCCUCCGUAUCCGACGGCUACAAGGCGAACUAGUUGAUCCUCCACCGCAGCGCAUGAGAUCACGGAACAUGGGUUCUUAAAGCACAGGCUUUCGUACAACCCUUAUCCUUACCCUUCAGUAUUUCUUCAACAUCCACGUCAUACAACUAACUUACAACAUCAGAUUUUCUCUUUUUUGUUUCUUCCAAAUAAGACAACAUAUGAACUUCAAACUUUGCAAGACAUCAAAACAUUAUAACAACAAAGUGGUAAAAAAACAUUCAGAUUUUUGGUCGAACAAAAAUAUACAAAAUGAGAUUUUUUUUAAUGAAAAUACAUCAUUUUUAGUAUUUAUAAUGCAUGAAAAAAUGCAAAAGUUUUUCUCACAUUCUAGUUAGAAUCUUUUCCUGUCCUCCAAAGUUUAAAGUUCAUAUGUUGUUUUAUUUAAAAGAAAUAAAAAAGAUAAUAGUGCUUGCACGAAUUGCGAUGCAAAAAUAGAUGGCUUGAUAAGGGAUGUAGGAAAGCCUACGCUUUCUCAUAUGUUAACCGGAGAUCACGCCAUCCACCGAUGCCACCUUGGACGGCUUGAAGUGGGUGGGCUCCGACAGCCGCCUGCACGGACUCGUGCUCCCAAGACGUGUCUGUGCCAGCCGCCGCCUAGACCGCAUCGCCAGCCUGCAACUACUGCUACAAGCACAUCCGACGGCUCAGGCGCGCGAGCGGCGUCGAGCAAUUCCUCUCGCUCCUUCGCGCGGAGCAUCCCGGAGCCUUAGGAGGAGAGGGGUGCACACAGCCUGCGAGAAUUCGGUCUCCGCGAGCACCAUGGCACCACAACCGACUUCAGCCCAGUGCCCAUGGUCCAUUGGUCCGCAUGAGCGGCUUCGGGUGCGUCUAUUAGUUGAGGCAGGAGAAGAUAGCAUGUAAAGAACGUAAAGUAGCCUCGUACAACUUGACCCACUUCUUGCUCUCGAUCACGCUCGUCUCAGCUUGACUCUUCGGAAAGAGCAGAUUCAACCGUUUUUAGCAGGCCUGGCCAAAAGGUACUUUAAAGUUCAUGCUAUGCAUGCCUAACCGUGAAUGCAAGCUACCGAACAGUACGUUUUCAUCUCAAGCGGGCCUAGGUGAACCUAAUCCAUGCAACCAAAUGACCAUAUGUUCUUCGAUGGUGGAGCGACAUCACCAAUCCCUAAUUAACUAAUCAGGAGGUUUGUUUCUCCGACCCAUGUGUUGGGUCCUGCUAUCUUCUUCAAUUACCAUCACAUCUACUACGACCUAUGCCAUUCAGCACAUGAGAAAAAAAAUGAAUGCAUACCAAUCUUUGCUCGUGUUAAUAGUGAUUUCAGGUCAUUGCCCUUUAUAUACACCACCGUAUCUUCAUGCUAGCGCGCAUAUUGCAACCUCCCUAUUUCUAUUUAAUCUCAAAGUGUUGGUAGAAUUUUCUUUUCUUAACAACACAGCUUAGUAUAUCAAAAUAGGUGAUAGUCACAUAUACAUAUCGAUUACACAAUGAGAGAAGAUAUUAUACACAUGUAGGAACUUAUAUGGGAAUAGAAGACAUUGGGAAUAAUGGUGGCACCAAAAAUAAAGCAGUACUGAGAUAAACACUGGAUAUUCGAUCUUAACGAGAGGUUAACGGACACGGAGUUUUGGCUUUGGGAUCUAGACAAUCCUGUUAUCCUGCACGUGCAACUUUGUCUCUUGAUUAGACACCGGGCAACUUUUUUAAACUAUACCUGGACUGGGAAAAUGGUUCCCACGCGGUCAGCAUAUAUGUGGACAUUGCCAUACAGGGACGGCGCAGGACCAGGUGGCGCUAGAUCUCGACCUUGGUACGGGCAAUGAGGAACCGGGAGUACUCCAACUAGGAUUCAAGAUGAUGAAGGCCCACGAAGCUCCAGGAUGGACUAAAAGGUAAUGUCCCAUCAAGCAAAAAUCAGAUGUGAUGCCUCCCUCAUCGUUAAGUAAUGUAAUUGGGCGUACGCGGCUACACCUGAUAUUGUUGUUGAAGCUUGUUUAGAGCUUGAAAACUAUAAUUGGGCAACAUGCUAUUGUCUUGGUUACACGUUCUUCAGAACUGAUUUAAGUAGAAUUGGAAUGUGGAUUUGUUCUAUAAUCCUGGGACAAUACCAUGUCUAAAGAGAUGAAUUGUAAUACAGUGAUUUCAUUAGAGGUGCUGGUGCACGUAUAUAUAAUACAAGGGAAUGCCUCUACCUCAACUAUACAAGACUAGGAGGUGGGCCACAACAGUAAUACACGUGCAACACAAAUACAUAUCCAACCCCCCCCCACCCCCCCCCUCAGUCGAAGCGUCAUUGGAGACACAGAGACUGGACCGAAACUCCUCUAAGACGGGAGCAGGCAAUCCCUUAGUCAUGAUGUCAGCAAACUGUUGUGCCGUCGGCACGUGGAGAACCCGAACUCGUCCAAGGGCAACCUGCUCGCGCACGAAGUGAAUAUCAAGCUCAAUGUGCUUCGUCCGUCGAUGGUGCACCGGGUUGGCAGAGAGGUAGACCUCGCUGACGUUAUCGCAGUAGACGACAGUGGCCUUGUGAACGUCACAAAGCAACUCCUGUAGUAGCUGUCGUAUCCACGAGCAUUCGGCCACGACAUUAGCCACGGUGCUAUACUCUGCCUCGGCGCUGGAGCGGGAGACCGUGGGUUGCCGCUUCGAUGACCAAGAGAUCAACGAGGGCCCAAGAUAGACACAGUAGCCUGAAGUAGAGCGCCGCGUGUCAGGACAACCAGCCCAAUCAGCAUCCGAGUAGACCACGAGGUCGGUGGAGGCGGAGGCCGUCAGAGUAAGUCCCAUGGACAUGGUAGCGCGUAUAUAACGAAGAAUACGCUUGACCAGAGUCCAGUGAGAGUCACGCGAGGCGUGCAUGUGGAGGCACACCUGCUGGACAGCGUACUAUAGGUCGGGACGAGUCAGCGUCAAAUACUAUAAAGCACCAAAAAUAGAGCGAUAAAACGCUCCAUCGGACGCAAGAGACCCCUCCAAAGCAGAGACCUUCGCCUUCUUGUCGACGGGAGUAGGUGCUGGUUUGCAGUUAAGCAUACUGGCACGCUCGAGAAGCUCGUGGGCGUACUUCUGCUGAUGCAGAAAGAAACCGUCGGUCCGGCGGAUCACCUCGAUGCCGAGAAAGUAGUGCAGAGGCCCCAAGUCCUUGAGGGCGAACUCGUCACGAAGACGAGCAGUCAGCCGCUGAAGGAGAUCGGGUGCGGAUGCCGUGAGGAUGAUGUCGUCGACGUACAGCAGCAAAUAUGAAGUGGCAGCUCCCUGAUGAUAUACGAAUAGUGAAGCAUCGGAGCGAGUGGACCGGAAGCCCAUAGACUGCAGAAAGGUUGCGAUACGCUGGUACCAGGCCCGGGGCGCAUGCUUCGACCCGUACAGAGAACGGGAGAGCAAGCACACAAAGUCAGGGUGCGCGGCGUCGACGAAACCAGUGGGCUGCUCACAGAACACCUGCUCGGCGAGAUGACCGUGCAAGAAGGCGUUGGAGACGUCCAACUGAUGAACACGCCAUGCGCGCGAGACGGCUAGUUGAAGGAUGGCGCGGAUCGUGCCCGGUUUCACAACCGGGGCGAAGGUGUCGGUGAAGUCCACGCCCGCGCGCUGCCGAAAAUCGCGAACCACCCAUCGAGCCUUCUAGCGCUCGAGAGAACCGUCCGGACGAGUCUUGUGGUGAAACACCCACUUGCGAGAGAUGAUGUUGGCACGAGAGGGUCGCGGAACAAGUUGCCACGCCCGGUUGCGCUGCAGGGCAUCGAACUCCUCCUGCAUCGCUGCUAGCCAAUGGGGAUCCCGAAGAGCGGCACGAACGGAGGUAGGAAUGGGUGAAGGCGCUGAUGUCGAGGUAGCGCACGCAUACUCGUUGGAGGAGUAGCGUGUGGUCGGCCGAUGCACUCCUGCACGGGCGCGGGUGACCGGGCUAGCGAGGGCAGAAGGUGCGGCGGUGGGUGCCGUCGUGACGGCAGGUGCUCCGGCGGCAUGGUCGGGUAGCACGGCGUCGAGAGCGGCGACGGCGCCAGCCGAGCCAGCCGUGGAGGAGGCGACGGGCGAGGUCGAGGAGGAGCCCGUCGCAGGGGUGGCGACAACGGCCAGGGUGGCAGGUGGAGAGCCUGCGGGCUCAACCUCGUGCGAGGGAGCCGGGGACCAGGGGGCCCGGUCGGACUCGACCUCGGGUGAGGGAGACGAGGGCCCGGGAGGGGCCAGCAGAAGACGCCGAGCUGGGGUUGACGCCGUGGUGUGGCGCCGCGCAGCGCUCCCAGGAGGGGCGCGGAGGCUGGAGCCGAAGGAGCCGUGGCCGGGGGAACCUAAAAAAGGGAAACACCGUUUCGACGAAGUACACGUGCCUCGAGGUAUACACACGAUGGGUGACAGGAUCAUAUCACCGGUAACCUUUGGUGUUGGAAGGAUAGCCAAGGAAGAUGCAUGGGACGGAGCGAGGUGCAAGUUUGUGUGGCGUGGUGGCGGCGGUGUUAGGAUAACAGAGACACCCAAAUAUGCGGAGACCGUCAUAGGAUGGUGGUGUACCGAAAAGAAGGUGGUGAGGAGCAUAGUUCCAUCGGGGACGACAUGGACGAAUCUUGAUGAGGAGAGAGGCGGUGGCAAGAGCAUCAGGCCAGAACCGAGCGGGCACGUUGGCAUGGAAAAGCAACGUGCGGACGCAAUCGUUGAGAGUGCGGAGGAUGCGCUCGGCGCGGUCGUUCUGCUGUGAGGUGUAAGGACAAGUUAGGCGGAAGAUAGUGCCAUGAGAGGCGAGAAGUGAGCGAAAGGCGACGUUGUCAAACUCUUUGCCGUUAUCGGUUUGAAGUGCGAGUAUGGGGCGACCGAACUAGGUGGUGACGUAGGCAUAAAAGGCGGUGAGUGUGGCCAAAGCAUCGGAUUUACGAUGAAGAGGAAAAGUCCACACAAAAUGAGAAUAAUCAUCUAAGAUCACCAAAUAGUAUAGAUAGCCCGUGUUACUCGCAACAGGAGGCGUCCAAACAUCACUGUGAACCAACUGAAACGGAAAGGUAGAAACUAAAGUAGACACACUAAAGGGAAGACGCACGUGCUUGCCUAAGCGACAAGCCUCACAAGUAUGUUUAUCUAGCUUAUUACAUGAGAAAGAGAAACUCCUAAGGAUCUGACGUAAGACGGCAGGGUUGGGGUGGCCCAAGCGAGCGUGCCAAAGGUCGACGCCGGUAGAGAGAGCGACGGGUGUGGAAGUGGAGGCGUCGGCGUGCAUGGGAUAAAGGUCGUCAGGGCUAUCACAUCGGUGCAGCACCAUCCGGGUACGGACGUCCUUCACAGAUAAACCAACACCGUCGAACUCAACAGUAAGGGGAUUCUCACGAGUAAGACUUUUAACGGAAAACUAGGCUAGUGACUAAAUCAGGAGAGACAAGAACAUUAGACAUGGUGAUAGGUGUGGAACUGGAGGGAAAGCUGGUGUGACCGACGUGGGUAAUAGGUAAAGAGGAACCGUUGCCAACGGUGAUACGAGCGGGUGUGUGAACGGGAGUGGAAGAGGACAGGUUACCAGGAUGAGCUGUCAUGUGCGCGGUAGCACCCGAGUCCAUGUACCAGUCACCUCCAUCGCCAUAGUUGGUGGGAGAUGGCGCCGAGUGGAGGGCGGCGAGGAGGGCCGGAUCCCAUGGUGCAGGUGUUGGGGGCGGCAGCAGUCCUCCGUAAGGUGGCGCCUGGGCGGGCGCGCCAUAACCGCCGAGGGGUGGCGACGUGAGCGGGGCUCCGUAGGGCUGGUAGGGAGCGGCGAGGAGCGCCUGGUGACCCGCGGGACGGGGGCCAAGGAGGCUCGGGGCAGGAGGCCUCGGGACGGGCAUGUGGUAGGCGUGGACGACGCCCAUCCACGGGUUCUGCCCGGCGGUCCACGGAGGAGGCGGCGGCUGGAAGUGUGGCGUGCCCCCUGUGCCCGACCCCUGUUGCUGCGGUGGCUGCUGCUGGCGGCGGCCCCACCUCCCCGCCGGUUGCGGCGGCCCCCGCCACCUUGCGGCUGCUGGGAAGGCGCGGGCGAAGUGGGCGGCGGAGGGUAGUAGCCGGCGGGAGCGGGUGGCGCGGACUGUCGGGGGGCGGCCGAAGAAGAAGGGCCGCCGCGGGUGGUGCCGGCGGCGAGAGCGGUGUGCGGAACCCGCUGCUUCAGCUUCGUCAUCCGGCGCUCCUCAAGUUUGAGGUAUGCGACGACGCGUUGGAAGGUGGGUUGCGGCAUCAGGGUGAGGUUGGAGGCUGCGUUGCCGAAAUCCUCAUUAAGACCGGCGGUGAGGGUGCUCAGCAUGAGGUCGUCAGAGACCUUGGCGCCGAUGUCGCGAAGCUCGUCGGCAAGCAUCUUAAGCCUCAUGCAGUAGUCCUUGUUGGUGGCGUUGUCCUGGUGACAGCCGAAAAACUCUUGCUGCAAGAAAACAAGGCGGUGGAGUUUGUUGUCGGUGAAGAGCGCGUUGAUCUUGGCCCACACGGUGCAGGCAGCAUCGUCCUCGGCGACAACCGUGUGGAAGAUGUCCUUCGAGACUGUCUGGUAAAACCAACAGAUGAUUGUGGCCUCAAUGGCGAACCACUCCGGGUCGCCGCGCAUAUACGCGGUGUCCACAGAACCGUCGAUGUGCUCGGUGAGGUAGUACUCGCGGAAGACAAGGUUGAAGUAGGUCUUCCACGCGUAAUAGGACGUGCUGGAGCUGUUGAGACAGAUGGGGACCCGGGCCUCAAUGUUGAGGUCACGGAUGGCGGCGGCGGAGGGUUCAGGACCAGCGAACGGGUUGGAGGAGUGGGUGGUGGAGGAGCCGGCGGAGUGGGGUGACGACAUGGCGGCGGCGUGUGGGGAAGCGGCUAGGGUUUAUGGUUGGAGAGGAGUAGCGAGGCGCGGCUGCAGCAGGGAGCCGGCGCGGCGCGAGCGUGGCGUGCGAUCAGGCGAGCGAGCGGGCGGGCGGGCAGGCGCGCGAGCGGGCAAGCUGGCAGGCGGGCGCGUGAUUGCAGAGAGGGAGGGCGGAAGCGAUAUGGCGGCGGCGGCGCAGGGAAGGGAGAGGAGGGGCACGACGGCAGCGGUGAGUAGGUGAGGAGGUGGGCGCGGCAGCGGCGGCGGCGCAGGGAGGCGCGACGGCAGCGGUGGCGGCGGCUACCCUAGGGUUGGAACGAAAGAACUGAUACCAUCUAGAGAGAUGAAUUGUAAUACGAUGAUUUCAUUAGGGGUGCUGGUGCACGUAUAUAUAAUACAAGGGAAGGCCUCUACCUCAACUAUACAAGACUAGGAGGUGGGCCACAAUUGUAAUACACAUGCAACACAAAUACAUAUUCAACACCAUGAAUGCUCCUUAUAGCAGUUUGCUGCCAUACAUUUAACUGUGUUUCCUUAUUUCAGUGUCAUGCAAUAUACCUUGAUGCUGAAUCUGGCCCUGAAUAGGACUUUUGUACUGCUAUAUGUAAUUGUGUGAGACCGAAAUCAGAUGAUGCACCAUGGAUGACUGAAUUAAUACGGAAGUGGGAGGCUGUGCUCUAGCAUGUGUGGUUCUUAUUAGCAAAUUUGGUUGCACUCGUUCACUCCGGAAGCAUGAGAGGAAGAGGAUGAAUGCGCCAUUGUUGCCAAGCACUGUGAGCGGCGCUGUUGUGUUUCGCUGUUUGGGCGAGGUGAUGGUGGGGGAUUUUUUGCUGGUCUAGCACUAGUCUUCCAAAGCAAGCCUCUUCUGACGCGGCACAACUCCGUCUGUACCGCCGGGGAGUUAACGACGAUCAACAUAAUGAAUGCAUCUAACUGUGGACCAUGUGACUGUGCAGUAGAUAGCUGUACAUUCAGCAUACGUCAGAGAAUACACCUCUUCACGCACAUCUCAGUGCAUCUGUUCGGUCAUGAAUUUAGGAUCAUCUGCAGCCUAGUCCCUUAGCCUACACAUUUGGGUAUCCUAACCCGAAUCCGAACCGAACCGAAUUAUCUGAAUUGUCAGGUAAUUCGGGUAUCAAGUUAAGGUUCAUUUCUUAUUUUUUGGCUGUUCGGGUUUCAGGUUAGGGUUCAAGUUUUAGUCUGAAAAUCUAAAAUAACCAUAUUAUCCGGGUUAUUCAUACUAAUCAAAGUAUUCAUGCUAUUAUUAUACUGACAUGUUACCCAUACUAACUAAAAUAGCCAGACUAUCCAAAAUAACCAUACUAUUCAAAUUAUUCAUACCAAACAUUGAUGUGUGCACCAAAUAUCUUUGGUGUACCCGAAUUAUCCGAAACAAAGUUUUAGGUAAUUUGGGUUCGGUUACUCUUUUUGCAGAAAAAAAUCCGGUUACCAUUUUUGAGUAUUCGAAUUACCCAUAACCCGAACUAUCCGAACCGAAGUAACCAAAAUACCCGAAAACUCAGGCUGACUAGUCCCAAAUGGAACAUCCGUUAACGAGAGUGAAAUGUUACUGAAAUAAUCAGGAGGUUUGUUUCUCCGUCCCAUGUGUUGGGGCCUGCUAUCUUCUUCAAUUACCAUCACAUCUACUGCGACCCAUGUCAUUGAGCACAUGAAAGAAAAAUGAAAAAAAGGAAUGCAUACCAACCUUUUCUCUCGUGAAUAAUGAUUUCAGGUCAUUGCCCUUUAUAUACACCACCAUAUCUUCAUGCUGGCGCGCAUAUUGCAACCUCCCUAUUUCCAUUUAUUUUCAUGGUGUUGGUAGAAUUUGCUUUUCUUAACAACACAGCUUAGUAUAUCAAAAUAGGUGAUAGUCACAUAUACAUAUNNNNNNNNNNNNNNNNNNNNNNNNNNNNNNNNNNNNNNNNNNNNNNNNNNNNNNNNNNNNNNNNNNNNNNNNNNNNNNNNNNNNNNNNNNNNNNNNNNNNAAAUAUUCUUUACUACUACCUUUUCUGUUCAAAAUUACUUGAAGUUCUAUUUUUGUUCUCUACUUUCAUCUUUUGAUUUUGACCAAGUAUAUAGAAAAAUAUGUUAAUAUUUAUAGUAUCAAAGAGAUAUUGUAUGAAACUAUAUUUUGUGAUGAAUCAAAUGAAACUAAUCUUCUAUUGUACAUGCUAAUAUAUAUUUUUAUGAACACGACCAAACCUAGAAAAGUUUGACUCAUAUAAAACUAAAACUUUAAGCACCUUGAAAUAGAGGGAGCAGCACAAAAUUUGUUUGAGGCAUGGGCGUAGCACGGAAAUAUUAGGGUCUGUUUGGGACCGCUUUGCUCUAUCAAAGUGAUUUACACUUCAUUAAAUUUAUUUUGGAGCAGUUUCAUAAAGGAGUUGCAACCAUUUUGAAGAAUGUUUAGCUUUCAUCUACCUCCAGCUUCACGAAUGAAAAAUUUGAUGGAAAGGAUCUAUUUGAUUGGAUGAGAGAGGAGAAAUGAAGGUGUGUCCACUUACUGGUGGCAACGGUUAGAUUUUUUUUCCAACUUCAGGUUCUACAAUUUUAUGGAACACCUCCUAAAGAGCUUCACAAAAAACAAGGAACUGAACCCUAGAUUCUAGUUUUUUCGGAGCGGUAUAUCAUGGAGCUACCCCGUUUGACUUACGUUUUUUAAACAAAGCGGAAUUUUCUGGAAUAAAGUAGUUCCAAACAGAAUUUUCCGAACCCAAGCUCAUUUACCCCCCCCCUAAACAAUAAAUUCAAAAAUAAAUAGUACAAAAUUUAAAAUAAAACUCUAAAUUCCGCGACACUAAACUUCACAAAAGUUUCUAUGAGUUUGCAAUUAUUUAUGCCGAUAUGACUUUGGGGCUAGCUCCUUCCAACAAAAAUAAAGCCGGAGCUUGGAAGACUCAAGUACCUUUCGAAGUAUUGGAGCUAUCCGAUUUUGUUCUAUUUAAAAGUUUCUAAAAAAAAUUACAGUAAAGAUGAUGGAAUUUUCGGAAACUCCUAUGUGGCGCUUCAGGCACCACUAGGAGAACGGGCGCCUGCAGCGGCCAUCUUCGUGGGCCGGCCCAUAUUGUAUUCGUUGGUUAUUAAAAAAUCAUAAAAAGUUCACAGAAUUUUAAAAAAAAUUCAGGUUUGCGAAAAAAUUCAAUGACUACGGAAACAAGUUCACUGAUUUUUGAAAAUAUGUUCAUGAAUUUUGGAAAAUUUCACAGAAUUCGAAAAAAUAUAAUCAAUUUUGAAAAAAAGUUCAUCAAUUUUUAAAAAUAGUUCAUUAAUUUUAUAAAAAAGUUCAUGAAUUUAAAUUAUAUUCAUUCAUUUCAUAAAGGUUUAACAAUUUCAAAAAAAAGUUUAACGAUUUUCAANNNNNNNNNNNNNNNNNNNNNNNNNNNNNNNNNNNNNNNNNNNNNNNNNNNNNNNNNNNNNNNNNNNNNNNNNNNNNNNNNNNNNNNNNNNNNNNNNNNNACUUUUCGUUGGAAAAGGUUAUUAAUGCGCAGGACUGUUCCGCCUUUUUCUUGCAGAUUUUUGUAAUAAAGUCGUGAACAAUAUUCAUUCGAGUGUUAAUGAAUCUGAAGUUUGGCAUUCACGUCUUUGUCACAUAAGUUUCGGUGUUAUGUCGCGGCUAGCAAAACUGAAUUUAAUCCCAGCUUUCACUUUAGCCAAAGGUUCUAAGUGCCAUUCGUGUGUGCAAGCAAAGCAACCUCGCAAGCGUCACAAGGCUGCAGAGGAGAGACACUUGGCACCAUUAGAACUCAUACAUUCUGAUCUUUGUGAGAUGAACGGUGUGUUGACUAAAGGUGGAAAGAAAUACUUCAUGACAUUAAUAGAUGAUUCCACUAGAUUUUGCUAUGUGUAUCUGUUAAAUACUAAAGAUGAGGCUCUACACUACUUUAAAAUCUAUCAGGCAGAAGUUGGGAAUCAACUUGAAAAGAAAAUUAAACGAGUCCGGUCUGAUCGUGGUGGAGAGUACUUCUCAAACGAGUUUGAUUCAUUUUGUGCGGAACACGGCAUUAUUCAUGAGAGGACGCCUCCCUAUUCACCCCAGUUAAACGGGGUUGCCGAGCGGAAAAACCGUACUCUAACUGAUUUGGUUAACGCCAUGUUAGAUACAUCGGGUUUAUCCAAGGCAUGGUGGGGGAGGCUAUAUUGACCGCGUGUCAUGUCCUGAAUAAAGUUCCUACAAAAGAUAAUGAGGUCACUCCCUACGAGGAGUGGUCGAAGAGAAGGCCGACGCUCUCGUACUUACGUACUUGGGGCUGCUUGGCGAAAGUCAAUGUACCGAUCCCCAAGAAGCGUAAGCUUGGACCAAAGACUGUGGACUGCGUUAAUUUGGGAUACGCUAAGAAUAGCGUAGGCUAUAGAUUUCUAGUAGUGAAAUCUGAGGUACCUGACGUGAAGGUCGGUACAAUAAUGGAGUCGAGGGAUGCUACAUUCUUUGAGGAUAUAUUUCCCAUGAGAGAUAUGCAAAGCACUUCUAGACAGAAAUCUGAGAUAACUCCUGAGCCUGCCAUUUCUAUGGAAUACUAUGAACAAACACAUGAUGAAAAUCGUGAGGAGGAUGACGAGGAAGCCCGUGGUAGGGGAAAGAGACAAAGGACUGCAAAGACCUUUGGUGAUGAUUUCUUCGUAUACCUCGUGGAUGAUAAUCCCACUUCUAUUUCAGAAGCGUAUGCUUCUCCAGAUGCUGAUUACUGGAAAGCUGCGGUCCGUAGCGAGAUGGAUUCCAUCAUGACUAACGGGACAUGGGAAAUCACUGAUCGUCCCUAUGGUUGCAAACCAUUGGGAUGCAAGUGGGUGUUUAAAAAGAAGCUUAGGCCCGAUGGUACGAUUGAAAAGUACAAGGCUAGGCUUGUGGCCAAGGGCUAUGCCCAGAAAGAAGAAGAAGAUUUUUUCGAUACUUAUUCACCUGUGGCUAGACUGACCACCAUUCGAGUACUACUCUCAUUGGCGGCCUCUCAUGGUCUUCUCGUUCAUCAAAUGGACGUUAAGACGGCUUUCCUGAAUGGAGAGCUAAAUGAGGAAAUCUAUAUGCAACAGCCAGAUGGCUUUGUGAUAGAAGGUCAGGAAGGAAAGGUGUGUAAGUUGCUGAAGUCUUUAUAUGGUCUGAGACAAGCACCUAAGCAAUGGCAUGAGAAGUUUAAUACAACUCUCACAUCUGUUGGCUUCGUUGUUAAUGAAGCUGACAAAUGUGUAUACUAUCGCCAUGGUGGGGGCGAAGGAGUUAUAUUGUGCUUAUAUGUUGAUGACAUACUGAUAUUUGGAACCAACCUCAAAGUAAUUGAGGAGGUUAAGUCUUUUCUGUCUCAAAACUUUGAGAUGAAGGACCUUGGCGUGGCUGAUGUUAUCUUGAACAUCAAGCUGUUGAGAGAUGAUGAGGGUGGGAUUACACUUCUGCAAUCCCACUAUGUUGAUAAGAUUUUGAGUCGCUUUGGAUAUUCAGACUGCAAAAUUUGUCAAACACCAUAUGAUCCUAGUGUGCUUAUUCGAAAGUUUAAAGGCACAGCUAUAGAUCAAUUGAGAUUCUCUCAAAUUAUCGGUUCACUUAUGUACCUAGCUAGCGCAACGAGGCCUGACAUCGCGUUUGUUGUGAGCAAACUUAGCCGGUUUGUUGCAAACCCGGGCGAUGUUCAUUGGCGUGUUGUUGAAAGAAUUAUGCGCUACUUGAAAGGUACUGUCAACCACGGGCUUCACUAUACGGGAUUCCCAUCGGUACUUGAAGGGUAUAGUGAUGCGAAUUGGAUCUCUGAUGCUGAUGAGAUGAAGGCCACUACUGGGUAUAUGUUUACUCUUGGGGGUGGUGCUGUUUCCUGGAAGUCUUGCAAGAAAACGAUCUUAACAAGAUCGACAAUGGAAGCAGAAUUAACAGCAUUAGACACAUCUGGUGUUGAAGCAGAAUUUCUUCGAGAUCUUUUGAUGGACUUACCUGUGGUUGAGAAGCCAGUUCCGGCUAUCCUUAUGAACUGCGAUAAUCAAACAGUUAUUGUUAAAGUGAAGAGUUCAAAGGACAAUAUGAAGUCCAACAAACAUAUAAGAAUGAGAUUGAAGUCUGUCAGACGUUUGAGAAACUCCGGAGUGAUAGCGCUGGAUUACAUCCAAACGGCUAAGAAUCUGGCAGAUCCCUUUACUAAAGGGCUAUCACGUGUUGUGAUAGACAGUGCAUCGAGGGAGAUGGGUAUGAGACCCACAUGAGUUGCCAUGGCAGUAACCCAACCUAUAUGAUCGGAGAUCCCGUGAAGUAGGACCUGGGAAAACAAGCCAGUGGUGAACUGAGGAGAGUAACUUUACUAACCCACUCCGUUGGAGAUGCAAUACUCUCGGAUACUAUAUGGUAGGAUGACUACUGUCCUAAUGUGUUCUAAAGCUUAUAUGUAAGCAAGAUGCUGUCCUACAGAGCGACCUUUGGAGGAACACACCUAUAUGAGCUUGACUGCUGGUCACAGUCUAUGAGAUUUGGGUGAUCUCUAGUAAACUCAUGAAUAGGCCAGGAGUGUGACUAAUAUGCUCCACCCGAGGGGUCACCUUCGGCAGCCUAGUACUAGUAAGACUUGUGGUGAAGCUCCUUUACGCCAAACUGACAAUUGAAGGCAUAGUCCAUUGUUCAGUUGUUAAGGGGUGUAGCUAUUUGCUCUAGGUGAAGCUCAACCUUAAUAGGUCUUCAAUGAAAUGCUGGUAUAUUAAAACAGUGUUUGGAACGAGGGAACACGAUGUGCCCUUGAGAUCUGGUGGGGGAUUGUUGAAAAUUAGAGAUGGGCCUUAGGCCCAUAAGAAAAAUUUCAGAAAAAUCUCCAAGGGCCCAUGUAGGUGGUGGCAUGACAAGGUGGUGGGAAGUUUAGUCCCACCCCGCUAGUGGAGGAGAAGUUGGACCCCUUUAUAAGGUUCUCUCUUCCACAUGCUAUUGGAGAGUGAGAAGAGAAGGUGCCCUCGCGCACUCCUCCUCCGCCGCCGGCCUCGCCACGCCUCGCCACGACGCGACGUGACGCGGGAAUGAGCCGAGCCGAGCUCACACCUACGCGCUUAUUUUUGCCGGUCAGGUACGGAGAAUAUGUAACGGACAAGGCACGAUCCGAGACGUCGGAUCAUGGCUGUUACCGACUCGGACGUGGGUUUGGCCCACGUCUCUCCACCCAGCCGCCUUUAUAAGCACGCUAUCGCCUACCCUAGCCGACACGAGAAUCAGAUCACAUCCGCCUCACGCGUUCAUUCCUUGACUGCUGCUGCCGCCGGCGACUCCGUCCCGUUUACCGCGUACACGAUUGACGGGAGAGCAGGCCUCCGAAACCUCGCCUCUCCGGUUCCUGAACGGGAGAGGGGCGAUUAGGUUUUUGGGGAGCGAUCACGCGACUGCUCGCUUCCGUCCGUCUGCUUCGUCAACGUCCGCGUCGCUCUCGUCAUCGCCAUGUCUUCACCAAGCGAAGCUGACUGUCUCGUCCGCAAGAAGGCCGAAGCCGAGAAGAAGGCGGCAGAGGAUACUGCCGCCGCCGCCGCUGCUGCUACGGCCAACUGGCCGAUCGGAGGGUAUGAUGUGUUUGUCUCUCUCCUGUUUCUGUCUGCACUAGUAGUAUUGCCUAUAUGCGUAGAUGUUUCUGCUAUAUGCGUAGUACUUGCUAGUAUACUCCGUGAUCAGUAUGUCAUGAACCUAGUCAAUGCCACGUUAGUAAUUAUUUCAUGGAUUAAUCUGCUCGCAAAAUUUCCUAUUUACUCAACACGAAUAAGGCUGAUCAUAACGGUGAGUAACUUACACUAAUACUCCCUCUAUACCGAAAUAUUUAUAGCUUUGAUAGACUAACUUUACCUAUUAAAACUACAAAUAUUUCGNNNNNNNNNNNNNNNNNNNNNNNNNNNNNNNNNNNNNNNNNNNNNNNNNNNNNNNNNNNNNNNNNNNNNNNNNNNNNNNNNNNNNNNNNNNNNNNNNNNNGUGUGAAUGUGCCCAUGCCGUUCGCGGCGCCGCCCCCUUCAGCGUAGAGGCUGAGGAGGCCACGCCCGGUGCUCUCGCCAUAUGAACGAUAGGGCGCUAUUCAUGUGAGGGUCGACACGACGCACAUUUUCUUACAUGCAAACUCGGUUCUUUAUAUGCGAUGUAUCAGCAACUAUUUCCAUUUUUUUAAGACUCAGCAGUAUGUACUGGUAGUGUUUGACUGUUGAGGUCUUUUUUUUGCUAGUGGACUGUUGAGGGUUUUGUCCCACUGUAUGUAUUUCUUGGUCUUCCAAAAUACACAGUACUAUUUGCGGUAUGUUAUCUUUGUCUUGUAUAUAACUCUAAUGAGUGAUGAUAAAAGAAGCACAAAUGCACAAAAUAUUCUAGUCACACAAAANNNNNNNNNNNNNNNNNNNNNNNNNNNNNNNNNNNNNNNNNNNNNNNNNNNNNNNNNNNNNNNNNNNNNNNNNNNNNNNNNNNNNNNNNNNNNNNNNNNNNNNNNNNNNNNNNNNNNNNNNNNNNNNNNNNNNNNNNNNNNNNNNNNNNNNNNNNNNNNNNNNNNNNNNNNNNNNNNUAAAAUUAAACACAAAAAAAUAUUUACUUUUUUGGUAGGGGAAACAAGCAUUCUUUACUAAUACUUCCUCAUUCCAAAUAAUUUGAUGUUCUCGGUGUGCCCUAGGUCAAUUUUUUAAUUUUUAAACAAUUAUAUAGAAAAAUAUGCUAAUAUUUAUAAAUGUAUAUCAUGAAAAAUCUAAUUAAACUAGAACUUGAUAUAUUUCUAUAUAAUCUUAGUGAAACUAAAAAAAUGACUUGGGAUAGAAAUAAUACUUCAAACAAGUAGCAAUGGAAGUAGUAGCUAACAAAUAAUAGUGUAGCUUGAUGGUAAAGUCUUAUUUCAUCUCCCAUGCUAUAGAUCGUAAGUGCGGGUUUUGACUUGGGAUAUAUAUAACACAUCUUAAAAUGUCAAAAAAUUCCAAACAAUAAUUUCCAGUGUACAUCCAGACAUUCUAUGUUCUCACACAGAAUUUCACAAAGAAAGAACAUUUUUUGUCCAAACAAUAAUUCCCGUGUACAUCCAGACAUUCUAUGUUCGUACACAAAAUUUCACAAAGAAAUAACUUUUUGGCAUGUAAAAAAGAUAAAAAAUGGCUCCUAAAUAGUUACAAUCAAGCAUGAAAAAUUGUCUUUUUUAUAUAAGCUACAAAAAAUGUCCUUUUUCACCGAAACUUUGUGCAUGAACACAGAAUGUCCAGAUNNNNNNNNNNNNNNNNNNNNNNNNNNNNNNNNNNNNNNNNNNNNNNNNNNNNNNNNNNNNNNNNNNNNNNNNNNNNNNNNNNNNNNNNNNNNNNNNNNNNAUUAGCAUGAGGUACCUUUGGGAGGGGCGACAGUUUGCGCUUUGGGGGGCUCCGUCGCUUAGAAAUCAUCGGCGGAGCGUUCUUGAUGGCACGCUUCUGCUUAGUAUCCGGAGCGGGCGAUGGCGGAGACGGACGACCCAAGUCCGGCGGCGGUGAUCGAGAUGGACUCGUGUUGUGAUGGCCGACGUCAUGUGAAGGGCUUGGAGGUGAUGGAGGUGUAGGUGACCUGCGACGACUCGGAGGCGGUGUUGUCCGUGGGGCCGAGCCUGGAAGCUUGAUGUAGUUCUUGUCCCAUAGGAUGACUCCAACCAGUACUUCUCCGAGUGUCCUCUCAUCUUCGGGUCCAGCUAUGUCGAGCUCCAUAUCAUUAAACCCCGUCAUGAUUUCAUCCAUCCCGACUUUAACCAUAUCAUGAAACCCCGCCAUGAUUUCAUCCACCCCGACUUUAGCAAAGCCAGCUGGAAUCUCACGGCCAUGCCACCGUGCAUUAGGGACAGAAGGUAAAGCUUGUCCGACGGCCACCUUCAUGGAUAAGUUCUUGAAUUUCUGAUGGAGUUCACAUGAUGUUGACUCCUUGAUUCCAUCCACGGGGUAGCCGGGACCGCCCUCUAUCAUUCUUCGUGCAUCGUCGGGCGGGGCCUCAGAUUCAGCCACGCUGCUUUUCCGCUUAGAUGGGGCGCCGGUAAUAUCAAGUGCAGGAUCUUCCUGGCGCGCUACUCCUAUAAGCUCAUUAAUCUGCUUCUGUUGCUCGUUAAGCCUCGCAAGCAACUGCUUGAACUUGUCAUUCUCCUCAUCGUGCUGCCGCUUCUUUGCUCUCGCUCGGCUUCUGUAAGUGUCUUGGUCUCUGGCAAACCCAAGCAACCACGGGUAAGAAGGACCGAAGCCUCGCGUUCGUCCUACAUGUUCGUCAUUGCCGAGGACCAGUGUGAGCAAAUAUUUCUCUCUAUCUGCAGUGAACUUUCUUUUUCCCUCCUUAAUUUCUUUCACUAUCUUUUUCCAAUUCUCCCUGGAUAUCCUAAGACCAUCACUGCAGAUGAGGUCCCCUGUUUUUUCGUCGUACGACCCACCAUGCGCAAGGAACAAAUUUCUUUCUCUCAAUUCCCACUCAUCACGGAGUGGUUCAGGUACGAUGCCUUUAUCUAUCAGAUCUUGCUCUUUCUUAUCCCAGUUUGGGAUGGCAGUCUCAUAGUCCCCUGGCCCCAGCUUGUGGUGAUAUUUCUUCUUGUCGGCAUUUAUCUUGUUCUUUUCUGAUAAUGCCUCGGCAUCUUCUGACUCCUUGUACUCUUGAAAUGCCUUCGAGUGAUUCGCCUGCUUGGCUAGAUACCCCUCGAAUACUGCCACUUUCUUUGUCUUCACAUAGUUUUUCCAUAGCUUCUUCUUCCAGCUAUGGAACAGUUCGGCUAUCUUCUUUAGAGUCCACUGCUUGACUUUGGCCCUCAGUUUGUCUGCGGCGUCUUCAUUCUCACAUUCUGGCAGGUUGAAAUGUGACAUGAGAUCAUUCCAAAGAUUAUCUUUGUACCUUUCGGCGACAUAGUCACUAUCGGCUGCCCCUUUGCGCUUGUUCGACUCCCGAACGCUGAUCGGGACGUGAUCCCUAACGAGAACUCCGCAUUGCUUCUUGAAUGCGUCAGCAGCAUUCUUAGGAAGCUUGGGUUCGCCCGUAGGCAAUAUCACCUCAAAGGUGUAAUGCGUCCNNNNNNNNNNNNNNNNNNNNNNNNNNNNNNNNNNNNNNNNNNNNNNNNNNNNNNNNNNNNNNNNNNNNNNNNNNNNNNNNNNNNNNNNNNNNNNNNNNNNUUCCCUCAGUUUGAGAACCAAGGUAUCAAUCCAGUGGAGGAGUAUCUCAAGAUCCUGCACAAACACAAAAACUUGCUCCCAACACUAUGAAGGGGUUGUCAAUCCCUUAUAGAUUGUUUUCCAAGUGAGAACUGAAAGCAACAAAGUAACAAAGCAAAGUAAAAGCGGAGAUGUAAACGAUGGAUGUGAAUAGACCCGGGGGCCGUAGUGUUUAUUAGUGGCUUCUCUCAUGAAAGCAAGUAGAUGGUGGGUGAACAAAUUACUGUCGAGCAAUUGAUAGAACCGCGCAAAGUCGUGAUGAUAUCUAUGCAAUGAUUAUUUCUAUAGGCAUCACGUCCAAAACAAGUUGACCGAUACUGUCUGCAUCUACUACUAUUACUCCACACGUCGACCGCUAUCCAGCAUGCAUCUAGUGAAUUAAGUCCAUAAGAACAGAGUUACGCCUUAAGCAAGAUGACUUGAUGUAGAGGGAUAAUCUCAAACCAAUGAUAAAACCCCCAUCUUUUUACCCCUGAUGGCAACUACUUGAUGUGUGCCUUGCUGCCCCUGCUGUCACUAGGAAAGGUCACCACAUGUCAGAACCAAAACCAAGCACUUCUCCCAUUGCAAGAAUCAUAGAUCUAGUUGGCCAACCAAAACCCAAGACUCGGAGAGACUUACAAGGAUAUAAAAAUCAUGCAUAUAAGAAAUCAGCAAAGACUCAAAUAUAUAUCAUAGAUAAUCUGAUCACAAAUCCACAAUUCAUCGCAUCUCGACAAACACACCGCCAAAGAAGAUUACAUCGGAUAGAUCUCCAUGAAGAUCAUGGAGAACUUUGUAUUGAAGAUCCAAGAGAGAGAAGAAGCCAUCUAGCUACUAAUUACGGACCCGUAGGUCUUAAGUGAACUACUCACGAGUCAUUGGAGGGGCGGUGAUGAUGAUGAAGAAGCCCUCGAACUCCAAAGUCCCCUCCGGCAGGGUCCCGGGAAGGGUCUCUAGAUGAGAUCUCGCGGAAACGGAAACUUGCGGUGGCGGAAAAGUAUUUUCGAGGUUCCCCUGAUUUUUUGCGGAAUAUUUGGGAAUUUAUAGGCCAAAUAUCUAGGUCAGGGGGUGGCCAGGGAGGCCACAAGCCUGCCCACCGCUGCCUCCCCCUGGUGGCGGAGUGGGGGCUUGUGGGCUCCCCGACGGCCCACUAGCCCCCCUCUUUUGCUAUAUGAAGCGUCCUGGUCCAGAAAAAAUCAAGAGGGAGCUUUUUCGUGGUUUCGUCGCCGCCAUGAGGCGGAACUUGAGCAGAUCCAAUCUAGAGCUCCGGCAGGACGAUCCUUACGGGAAACUUCCCUCCCGGAGGGGGGGAAUNNNNNNNNNNNNNNNNNNNNNNNNNNNNNNNNNNNNNNNNNNNNNNNNNNNNNNNNNNNNNNNNNNNNNNNNNNNNNNNNNNNNNNNNNNNNNNNNNNNNGAAGCUUGAUGUAGUUCUUGUCCCAUAGGAUGACUCCACCCAGUACUUCUCCGAGUGUCCUCUCAUCUUCGGGUCCAGCUAUGUCGAGCUCCAUAUCAUUAACCCCCGUCAUGAUUUCAUCCAUCCCGACUUUAGCAAAGCCAGCUGGAAUCUCACGGCCAUGCCAGCGUGCAUCAGGGCCAGAAGGUAAAGCUUGUCCGACGGCCACCUUCAUGGAUAUGUUCUUGAAUUUCUGAUGGAGUUCACAUGAUGUUGACUCCUUUAUUCCAUCCACGGGGUAGCCGGGACCGCCCUCUAUCAUUCUUCGUUCAUCGUCGGGCAGGGCCUCAGAUUCAACCAGGGCCAUGCUGCUUUUCCGCUUAGAUGGGGCGCCGGUAAUAUCGAGUGCAGGAUCUUCCUGGCGCGCUACUCCUCUAAGCUCAUCAAUCUGCUUCUGUUGCUCGUUAAUCCUGGCAAGCAACUGGUUGAACUUGUCAUUCUCCUCAUCCUGCUGCCGCUUCUUUGCUCUCGCUCGGCUUCUGUAACUGUCUUGGUCUCUGGCAAACCCAAGCCACCACGGGUAAGAAGGACCGAAGCCUCGCGUUCGUCCUCCAUGUUCGUCAUUGCCGAGGACCAGUGUGAGCAAAUCUUUCUCUCUAUCUGCAGUGAACUGUCUUUUUCCCUCCUUAAUUUCUUUCACUAUCUUUUUCCAAUUCUUCCUGGGUAUCCUAAGACCGUCACUGCAGAUGAGGUCCCCUGUUUCUUCGUCGUACGAACCACCAUGCGCAAGGAACCAAUUUCUUGCUCUCAAUUCCCACUCAUCACGGAGUGGUUCAGGUAUGNNNNNNNNNNNNNNNNNNNNNNNNNNNNNNNNNNNNNNNNNNNNNNNNNNNNNNNNNNNNNNNNNNNNNNNNNNNNNNNNNNNNNNNNNNNNNNNNNNNNUGAUUCCAUCCACGGGGUAGCCGGGACCGCCCUCUAUCAUUCUUCGUUCAUCGUCGGGCAGGGCCUCAGAUUCAACCACGCUGCUUUUCUGCUUAGAUGGGGCGCCGGUAAUAUCAACUGCAGGAUCUUCCUGGCGCAGUACUCCUCUAAGCUCACCAAUCUGCUUCUGUUGCUCGUUAAUCCUGGCAAGCAACUGGUUGAACUUUUCAUUCUGCUCAUCCUGUUGCCGCUUCGUUGCUCUCUCUCGGCUUCUGUAAGUGUCUUGGUCUCUGGCAAACCCAAGCCACCACGGGUAAGAAGGACCGAAGCCUCGCGUUCGUCCUCCAUGUUCGUCAUUGCCGAGGACCAGUGUGAGCAAAUCUUUCUCUCUAUCUGCAGUGAACUUUCUUCUUCCCUCCUUAAUUUCUUUCACUAUCCUUUUCCAAUUCUCCCUGGGUAUCCUAAGAUUGUCAUUGCAGAUGAGGUCCCCUGUUGUUUCGUCGUACGACCCAUCAUGCGCAAGGAACCAAUUUCUUGCUCUCAAUUCCCAAUCAUCACGGAGUGGUUUAGGUACGACGCCUUUAUCUAUCAGAUCUUGCUCUUUCUUAUCCCACUUUGGGAUGGCAGUCUCACAGCCCCCUGGCCCCAGCUUGUGGUGAUAUAUCUUCUUGUCGGCAUUUAUCUUGUUCUUUUCUGAUAAUGCCCAGCGAGGGGGACUAACACUUGUUUAUAAGCCCCGUCGCAGCUUCUCCAUCGAGCUCCUCUCUAAAGCAGGCUUACGGGCCUAAACUCACUCAAAAUUGUAACUAUAUUAGAAAUUAAAGGGAAAAUUCAAUCUAAAUUCAAAUGAGAAUUUAGGUUGAAUUUUCUCUAUGAUCUCGAAUAUAGUUUCAACUUUUUUAUUUUCAUAAUUAAUAAUUUUGACUAUCCAAACUAUUAUCUAUUUUGUUAUUUUCAAUUAAAAACUAUGUUUAUUAAAAAUUCUUUUUGCAUAUUUGAGAAUUUGACAAAACUAUGAUAAUGAAAAGUGUUUGAAAGUUGGCAUGCUAUCAUCAUUUCACCCACAUAGCAUGUGUUAAAAAGUUGAGAGGGCUAAGACAAAAACUUAUUUGAACUCCAUACUUUUUGUGUGUUCAAAAUCCACCAUUCAAAGGACCAUCACAAAAUUUCAACAAUUUCUGACUUCAUUUGGUAUUCUUCGUGCAUUUACUUUUUUUUGAGCUAGUUGACCCUGAAAUUGAAAAGCACUACAAAUGAACUCUAAAAAUGUUGAAAGUUGGCAUGCUAUCAUCAUUUCACCCACAUAGCAUGUGUUAAAAAGUUGUGAGGGCUACGACAAAGACUGGAUGCAGUUCGUGUACAUAACUGACAAUCUCUCUCGAAGUAGGAGCGUUUCGAACGAGAACUAAUCUCUUACAAAGGGAUUUAAUUUUUUUUAAACUUAUUUGAACCUCAUACUUUUUGUGUGUUCAAAAUGCACCAUUCAAAGGCACAUCACANNNNNNNNNNNNNNNNNNNNNNNNNNNNNNNNNNNNNNNNNNNNNNNNNNNNNNNNNNNNNNNNNNNNNNNNNNNNNNNNNNNNNNNNNNNNNNNNNNNNGUAUGAACAUGUGUCAAUGGCUGGAAACUUAUACAGUACAAAGUGAUCGUGUGAUUAGGUCGGUUGUUGGCCGGAUUGAGAGUCUGUGCGUGCGUGCGUUGUCAAUCCAAAAAGGGAUGCGCUCUGCAUGGUCGAGGUAUGUAGGCGGUAGCUAGGAUUUUCUGGGUUUAGAUGAAGAGCUGGCCGGCGCUGCAGAUUCGAUUUGCUGAACUGUCUUGAUUAUUCGUGCCAUCAUUUCUCAACUGGCUCAGUCACACUUCUCGCAAAAGUGCACCUGACUUGGACUAUAUGGUCAAACCCUUCGUUUGGUUGCAUGUCACUGAUCGAUCGUAUCAUACCUGCUUGGACUAUACGGUCAAACCCUCCGUUUUUCACUCUGUUUUCUAUGUUUGUUUUUCCACACACGAGGUAAUUAUUUCACCCGUUCUAUCGAUUAAUUUUUUUAGUUUAUCACGGAAAACCAGGUAAAAUGGAUACAAAUGAAGCUAAACUCCAUAAAGCAAUGAUACCACGGAGCGACACCCAUUGUCGACACGUCAUGUACAAACCAACCAUGGCCCACUUGUUUUCUUUAAGACUUGGAGUUUCAAAAUUUUCGUUCUCGCAUCCAUCGUCGAGGGGGAUAACUUGUCCAGGAUCAGGAGGAACAAGCUAAGAAGGUUUGUUAAAACCCACGUGANNNNNNNNNNNNNNNNNNNNNNNNNNNNNNNNNNNNNNNNNNNNNNNNNNNNNNNNNNNNNNNNNNNNNNNNNNNNNNNNNNNNNNNNNNNNNNNNNNNNGAAAGUUGGCAUGCUAUCAUCAUUUCACCCACAUAGCAUGUGUUAAAGAGUUGAGAGGGCUACGACAAAAACUGGAUGCACUUCGUGUUUGAAAUUGAAUAAAUAAUUCAAGACUAAAAGGUUUAGUGCAUUCCAUACAUGCAUUACAUAAAAGGUUUAAUACAUUAUUACAUUAUUGCACCAAUAUUCCUAUCUAUUAUUUAUGUUUUCUUCUGGGUCGUAGCCAUGGAGAAUCUUCAUCAUUCGGUAGGAUGCUUGGGUCCGUUUUCACUUUGAAGGGCGGAAUUUCAUGAAACUUAUUAUAAUCUACUGACAUGUCUGUCUUGUCAUCUACUCCCACGAUGUUUCUUUUCCCUGAAAGAACUAUGUGGCGUUUUGGCUCAUCACACGAUAUCUUCUUUUGCUGAUUUUUUUUCUCGUUUUUGUAGACAUGUCAUUCACAUUGAAAAUCUGAGCGACAUCAUUGGCUAGGACAAAUGGUUCGUCCAUGUACGCAAGACUGUUGAGAUCCACUGUUGUCAUGCCGUACUUUUGGUCUACAACUACCCCGCCUCCUGUCAGCUUCACCCAUUUGCACCGAAACAAAGGGAUCUUAAAAGUAGGUCCAUAGUCAAGUUCCCAUAUCUCCUCUAUGUACCCGUAAUAUGUUUCCAAACAGUGCCCAUUAUCGUCUGUUGCAUCAAAGCGGACACCACUAUUUUGGUUGGUGCUCUUUUUAUUUUGGGCAACCGUGUAAAAUGUAUUCCCAUUUAUCUCAUACCCUUGGAAAGUACAUAUAGUCGAAGAUGGUGGCCUGGCCAAACAGUACAGCUGAUCUCCAACGGUGUCGUCAUUCAUGAGAUGUUUCUGCAACCAACUGCCGAAAGUCUUCUCGUGUUCCCCUUUAAUCCAAGAGUCAGCCUUCCCCGGGUUUUCGGAGCGUAGAAUAUUCUUGUGUCUCACGAUAUACGGAGCCACCACGAUGAAAUUGUGUAGAACUGUGUAGUGUGCUUGAGAGAAAGAAUGCCCGUCCAUACAUACUUUUGCUUUCCUUCCUAGUGUGCCUUUUCCUGUCAGCCUACCCUCAUACUGAGAUUCAGGAACACCAAUCGGCUUAAGGUCAGGAAGAAAGUCCACACAAAACUCAAUAACCUCCUCUGUUCCAUAGCCCUUGGAGAUGCUUCCUUCUGACCUAGCACGGUUACGAACAUAUUUCUUUAAGACUCCCAUGAACCUCUCGAAGGGGAACAUAUUGUGUAGAAACACAGGGCCGAGAAUUCUAAUCUCUUCGACUAGGUGAACUAGGAGGUGUGUCAUUAUAUUGAAGAAGGAUGGCGGGAACAACAACUCAAAGCUGACCAGACAUUGGACCACAUCAAUCUGUAACCCUGAUAGACUUUCUCGAUCGAUUACCUUCUGAGAAAUUGCAUUGAGGAAUGCACAUACCUUCACAAUUGCCAGGCGAACAUUUUCCGGUAGAAUUCCCCUCAAUGCAACCGGAAGCAAUUGCGUCAUAAGCACGUGGCAGUCAUGAGACUUUAGGUUUUGGAAUUUUUUGUCUUUCAUAUUUACGAUUCCCUUUAUAUUCGACGAGAAGCCAAUCGGGACCUUGAUACUGAAAAGGACUUCAAAGAAGAUUUCCUUCUCUUCCUUAGUAAGAGCGUAGCUGGCACGCCCUUGAAACUACUCUGGAUGCAUGCCAUCUCUUCCUUUAUGAUGUUCCUGGUCCUCCCGUGCUUCCGGUGUAUCUUUUGACUUCCCAUACAAGCCCAGGAAGCCUAGAAUAUUCACGCAGAAAUUCUUCAUCAGGUGCAUCACGUCGAUUGCCGAGCGGACCUCAUGGAAUUCCCAGUAGGGUAGCUCCCAAAAUAUAGAUUUCUUCUUCCACAUGGGUACGCGCUUAUCAGGGUCGUUUGGAACAGGUUGGCUGCGGGGACCCUUUCCAAAGAUUACUUUUAAAUCUUUGACCAUAUCAAAUACUUCAGCACGAGUACGGAUGACAGGCUUCCCCCGGGGUUCUGCCUUGCCAUUGAAAUGCUUGCCUUUUUUCUUUAAGGGAUGCUUGGGCGGAAGAAAACGACGAUUGUACGGGUACACAUUCUUCCUACAUUUGUCCAGAUAUAUACUUUCUGUCUGAUCCAAACAGUGCGUGCAUGCAUUGUAUCCCUUGUUUGACUGUCCUGAAAUGUUACUAAGAGCAGGCCAAUCAUUGAUGGUUACGAAAAGCAACACUUGAAGGUCAAAUUCCUCUUGUUUGUGCUCGUCCCACACACGUACACCUGGUUCGGCCCGCAAUUGUAAAAGUUCAUCAACUAAUGGCCUUAGGUACACAUCAAUAUCGUUGCCGGGUUGCUUUGGACCUUGGAUAAGCACUGGCAUCAUAAUGAACUUCCGCUUCAUGCACAACCAAGUAGGAAGGUUGUAGAUACAUAGAGUAACGGGCCAGGUGCUGUGACUGCAACUCUGCUCCCCAAAAGGAUUCAUGCCAUCUGUACUUAGACCUAACCAUAAGUUCCUUGCGUCAGCUGCAAAUCUCGGGAACUCUCUCUCGAUUUUUCUCCACUGUCGACCAUCAGCGGUGUGCCUCAACUUAUCGUCUUUCAUACGAUCUUCCAUGUGCCAUCACAACAACUUCGCAUGAUCUUUAUUUCUGAACAGACGUUUCAACCGUGGUAUUAUAGGAGCAUACCACAUCACCUUGGCAGGAACCCUCUUCCUGGGUGGCUCGCCCUCAAUAUCACCAGGGUCAUCUUUUCUGAUCUUAUACCGCAAUGCAGUGCAUACCGGGUAUUUAUCCAUAUUCUCGUACUUCUCACCGCGGUAGAGGAUGCAGUCAUUAGGGCAUGCAUGUAUCUUCUGCACGUCUAAUCCUAGAGGACAGACAAGCUUCUUUGCUUCGUACGUGCUGGCGGGCAAUUCGUUCUUUCUUGGAAGCAUCUUCUUCAUCAGUACCAGCAACUUUUCGAAUGACGAGGCAGUGACACCGGUCUCUGCCUUCCACUUCAGCAAUUCCAGUGUGCUACCCAGCUUCUUCUGGCCAUCUUCACAAGUUGGGUACAACAAUUUGUUGUGGUCCUGUAACAUCUGCUCGAACUGCAACCUCUCCUUUUCUGUGUUGCAACCUCGUGGUGCAUCAGAAAUGACCCGGCCAAGAUCAUCAGCGGGCUCAUCUGGUUCCCGUUCUUCAUCCUGAUCUUCUUCUUCAUUGUCUUCCAUUGCGGUAUCAGCAUACUCAGGGAACAUAGAUCGGUAGUUGUCAUCAUCGUUCUCUUCUUCUUCAUCGUCGUCUUCCAUCAUAACCCCUCUUUCUCCGUGCUUGGUCCAAACAUUAUAGCCCGACAUAAAACCGGACCGAAGCAGGUGGCUCUGAAUGACUCUUGCGGAAGUGUAAUCCUUCUCAUUCCGACAUUCGACACAUGGACAAAACAUAUAGCCACCACCAUGCUUGUUCGCAUCGGCUGCAUCUCGAAAAGAAUGCACGCCUUCUCUGUAAGCGGCUAUGCGUCGAUCACCGUACAUCCAUGGAUGGCUCAUCUGCGUUAUACGAGAGUAUAUCAAAUACAAUCACGAUCCUAAAAAUUAGUACCGCACGGUCUAAACGAGGAAAUAUAGUUGCUAACCUUUUAGAAUAAGUAGAAAUAAAGAGGAAGAGGUUUAAGCGUGGCUCGGGCAUCUCAUAUCGUAGUUGUGUUCGGUGAACUGAAGCGGCAUCGCUCUAACACACAUUUCAACAAACACCUCUAGUGCAUAAAAAAAAUGGAGAGCUAGCACACACCCACACUCUUCCAUCCAAGAAAAAUGCAAGGAAGAGGGGAGAGGGGGGCUAUGCUAUAUAUAGGCAGAGGACUUUAGUCCCGGCUUGAGACACAAACCGGGACUAAAGGUGGCGCACAUGCGGGCUGCACACCGCGUAGCCCUUUAGUCCCGGUUUGAGACACAAAUCGGGACUAAAGGCUCCUUACGGGCCGGGACCAAAGCCUCGUGGGCGGCAUUGCGAUUUGGGGCGACGUGGCCGGGCCUUUAGUCCCGGCCCAGAGGGAGGCCGGGACUAAAGGGUCCAGGUCAAAGGCCCGUUUUCCACUAGUGGCACAGACAUUACUGAAGUAUUUAUAUGCACCAUAAUUAUGCAAACUUUUAGGCCUUUUUUUGUUACAUGGGAACACAUGAUCCCAGGUGUGCCUUUAAAUUAUACCCGUUUGGAUAUCAACGAUAUGAAUGCAUCCGUUAUUAUUCUUUAGCACAUCUCAUAUAAUCACAUGUCCAUUACAUUUCGUACCAAAAAACUGAAUUAAUAUAAUAUUGGGAUAAUUCACAAAGCUUUCUCUAGCUCCAUUUAUACUCUUAUAUUUGACCUACAUACGUAAAGCCAAACUACUAACCUUACAUCUUCAUGAAUAAUGUACGUAUUGAUACAACUGAAAAUUAAAUAGUGGCACACGUAUAAAUGGAGCAAUACCCCUUUUUUGCCUACACAUAGAAGGUCUUGCACCACAUAAAUGUACAAGCAUAAAGUACACACAUCCACACCACACGCACCAAUCGAAAAGAUACGACACACGUAAACAAGUGGGUACUUUUUUACUUGCACGCAGACACAGGUGCUGCUCAAACGAAUACUAUCAAGUUAAAGUAACCAUAUGGUUUAUGCAUGGUUGGAUCCUUGCAGUUUCAUCACACUCGUGAAUCGUGCAUGCACGGUCGUGGGCACGUACGUACGUCUAGUCCGUCGAUGGUGGAGGUGCAAGGAACUAUGGCACGGCCGGCACACCGGGAACAGACGGCGUCGGCGGCAGUGGCACCUUGGGCACGCCAGGAACGGACGGCAUCGGAGGCAAUGGCACCUUGGGCAGGUCGGGGACGGACGGCAUCGGCGGCAGUGGCACCUUGGGCAGGUCGGGGAUGGACGGCAUAGGCGGCAGCGGCACGUUAGGCACGCCGGGGACGGACGGCAUCGGCAACGCCGGCACGCCCGGCACUGUGGGAACCAUCGGCACGCUCGGCGCAGUGGGCACGGUCGGCACAGCGGCGCCGGGUACUGCCGGCAGCGGCACCGUCGGCACGCCUGGCACAGUGGGAACCGCCGGGAUGGUUGGCACGGCGGCUCCAGGUACUGGUACCGCCGGCACACCUGGCACCGUGGGUAUUGCCGGUACGCCGGGCACGGUGGGAACUGUGGGCGCCGUCGGUAUGCCUGGCACAGUGGGAACCGUCGGGACGUUCGGCACGGUGGGCACCGUGGGAACGACGCCGCCUGGCACGGCGGGGACUGUAGGGACGACGGGCACGGGGGGCAGCGUCGGUAUGGGCAAGGCGGGGACGUCGGCGAGGAGGCGCGCAGCAUGGCACGUGCUGAGCAUGACGGCCAUGAGGAGCGCCAUGGCAACGAAGCUCGUCGAGGUGGAAGCCAUGGGCGCGCGCGCUCGUGACCGCUGGUUACUACGUGCCUAGUAGCUCUCUUGGAGCACAGCUAAGCGCGAUGUGGCUACUUUUGUUGUGUUGCUUUGUGAUGCAAUGACCGGAGCGCUGCAUGCCAAUUUUAUAGCCCAUGUGCUGGCCUCCGGCCACUGUUUGUUAUUUUGGGAGAGAAGCUGGCGGCCGACCUCUGCUUGGCAUUUUGCAAGCAUCGGUUGUUGGCCAGGCAGAGCUAGUAUGGGUCACAUGGCCGCGUAAGGAGUACUGAUGAUUGGCGGAGAAGUGCGAGACGAUGGGGGCAAAAUUGAUAAAAAUAACCCCUCGGAAAGAACUCACAGAGUGACCCCUCGUGGAAAAUAUUUCACUCGUCUGACCAUUUUGUGUGGCGUCCGACAACUAGGCGACACACUACACUGUGUGACGCCUACCGUUCGACGCCACACACCCCCGACCACCUGGCAAAGAGGGUCCACCCCCAGGUCGUGUGACGCCUAAGCCUCAGGCGUCACACAUUGUAAUAUGUGGCGCCGGACGCUUAGGCGCCACACAUUGACUUAUACAGCCACGGGUCAGCCCCNNNNNNNNNNNNNNNNNNNNNNNNNNNNNNNNNNNNNNNNNNNNNNNNNNNNNNNNNNNNNNNNNNNNNNNNNNNNNNNNNNNNNNNNNNNNNNNNNNNNNNNNNNNNACUCUCCUAAGGUAAUCCCCACAUCUUCCCUCAUUUUCAUCCAAAGAAAAAUCUCGUGUGGUCUUUUUUUUGCAAAUUUGAGGAAACCCUAGUUUUUCAUGAAAUGUGGGAUCUAUAUGAUAUUGUUGUAUUUGUUUCUAUGUUAUGAUAAGGGGUAUGAUGGUGUUAGGAUUAGGGUUGUUUACAUGAACCAUUGCUAGAGGCUAAUGAUGAGCACGACGAUGAUGAGAAUGAUGGUAAUGUUCUUCAUGACAACAAUCUUGGUGAUUUGGACAAAUAUAAUUUGCAAGAGACAAUGGACCAUUCUAUUCCGUACUCACGUGGCUAUGCAUCUGAGUUUGACGAUGAGGGUCCUGAUGAAGAAGUUGAUGAGGAAGGGUUCACGGCAAAGGAGGCUGAAGCUUUCAGGAAGGUAUUAAAGCGUGAUCACCGGACACCAUUGUUCAAGGAUCUUAGCCUUGCGGAUGAAGCCGUGGUUGACGGAGGCGAAGGCAUAUUGUUUGGAGUUAGGCCACCUUCUCAUCGGGACAGACAUGGGAAGAAUAUUAUUUUGCCGGGGUCAAAGUUCGAAACAUUCUUUGAACUGAAGAUGUGGUUGGAUGAAUAUUCUGUUACGCAUUAUAGGCCACACAGAGCUGUUAAUUCAAACAUGAAUCUGCGUUACACGGUUGCAUGUGAGGAUAGAGGGUGUCCUUGGAUUGUCCGUGCAAGACCAUGGAAAGGAGGGCCAGGAUGGAACAUUGUCAGUUGUAUGCCUCACAUGUGUCGAGGCAAGAGGGUUGAUGGUGCCCUUUCGUCGCAAAUCCAUAGACAACUCACCUCCGAGUUCAUCACUUAUAGGCUUUCCAACUCCAUCUCCUCUCUUCCUACAAUGAGCAUAAAAAUCGUACAAGACCUUGUGAAAGCGCUCUUUCACUACGAGGUGAAAUAUCGUAAGGCAUGGAAAACAAAGCAAGCCGCAUUCAAGAUGUUGUAUGGUGAUUGGGAGCAAGCAUACAACCGCAUACCUAGGUUGUUGGGAGCUAUUGCCCACACUAACCCUGUUGGAAAUAUGCCCUAGAGGCAAUAAUAAAAUGGUUAUUAUCAUAUUUCAUUGUUCAUGAUAAUCGUCUAUUGUUCAUGCUAUAAUUGUAUUAACAGGAAACAGUAAUACAUGUGUGAAUAAAUAGAUCACAAUGUGUCCCUAGCAAGCCUCUAGUUGGCUAGCUCGUUAGUCAAUAGAUGAUCAUGGUUUCCUGAUCAUGGGCAUUAGAUGUCAUUGAUAACGGGAUCACAUCAUUGGGAGAAUGAUGUGAUGGACAAGACCCAAUCCUAAGCAUAGCACUAGAUCGUAUUGUUCGUAUUCUAAAGCUUUUCUAAUGUCAAGUAUCUUUUCCUUCGACCGUUAGAUUGUGCAACUCCCGGAUACCGUAGGAGUGCUUUGGGUGUAUCAAACAUCACAACGUAACUGGGUGAAUAUAAAUGUGCACUACGGGUACCUCCGAAAGUGUCUGUUGGGUUGGUACGAAUCGAGAUCGGGAUUUGUCACUCCGUGUGACGGAGAGGUAUUUCUGGGCCCACUCGGUAGAAUGUCAUCAUGAGCUCAAUGUGACUAAGGAGUUAGUCACACGAUGACGUGCUACGGAACGAGUAAAGAGACUUACCGGUAACGAGAUUGAACAAGGUAUAGGUAUACCGACGAUCGAAUCUCGGGCUAGUUCUAUACCGACAGACAAAGGGAAUCGUAUACGGGAUUAAUUGAAUCCUUGACAUUGUGGUUCAUCCGAUGAGAUCAUCGUGGAGCAAGUGGUAGCCACCAUGGGUAUCCAGACCCCGCUGAUGGUUAUUGGCCGGAGAGGUGUCUCGGUCAUGUCUGCCUGUCUCCCGAACCCGUAGGGUCUACACACUUAAGGUUCGGUGACGCUAGGGUUAUAGGGAAUUGUUAUACGAGGUUACCGAAAGUUGUUCGGAGUCCUGUUGGGGAACGUCGCAUGGGAAACAAAAAUUUUCCUACGCGCACGAAGACCUAUCAUGGUGAUGUCCAUCUACGAGAGGGGAUGAGUGAUCUACGUACCCUUGUAGAUCGUACAGCAGAAGCGUUAGACCGGAAGUGUUUCGGGCAUCACCGGAGGUGGCCCCGGGGGUCCACCGAAGGGGGGCAACGACCCCGGGAGGUAAGGUGGGCCAAGUGGGGAAGGGAACCAGCCCCUAGGUGAGCUGGUGUGCCUCCCCACUCGGUCCAAUGCAUGGGGGAGAGAAAAGAGGGGCAAACCCUAAGCCAGGUGGGCCUAAGGCCCACCAGGGGUGCGCCACACCCCUCCUCCCCCCUUGGCCACAACACCAGCCCCAUCUAGGGCUGCCCCCCCCCCAGGAGAGGGAAACCCUCAAGGGGGCGCAGCCCCUCCCUCCCCCCUAUAUAUAGUGGGCACUUUUGGCCAUUGGAGAUCAGACUUUUGCCUCUCCCUCAGCGCAGCCCUGCCCUACUUCCUCCUCCUCUGUGCCGGUGCUUGGCGAAGCCCUGCUGGGAGACCUCGUCUCUCCAUCGACACCACGCCGUCGUGCUGCUGGAGUUCAUCCCCAACCUCUCCCUCCUCCUUGCUGGAUCAAGGUGCGGGAGACGUCACCGGGCUGCACGUGUGUUGAACGCGGAGGUGCCGUAGUUCGGCACUAGAUCGGAAUCACACCGCGAUCCGAAUCGCUGCGAGUACGACUCCAUCAACCGCGUUCUAGUAACGCUUCCGCUUAGCGAUCUUCAAAGGUAUGAAGAUGCUCUUACCCCUCUCUCGUUGCUGGUCUCUCCAUAGGAAGAUCUGAAUAUGGCGUAGGAAAAUUUUGAAUUUAUGCUACGUUACCCAACAGUGGCAUCCAAGCCAGGUUUUCUAUGCGUAGAUUCUAUGCAUGAGUAGAACACAAAAGUUGUGGGCGAUGAUGUGUCAAUUUGCUUGCCGCUACUAGUCUUAUUCUUUUCCGACGGUAUUGUGGGAUGAAGCGGCCCGGACCGACUUUACACGUACGCUUACGUGAGACUGGGUCCACCGACAGACAUGCACACCGUGCAUAAAGGUGGCUAGCGGGUGUCUGUCUCUCCUACUCUAGUCGGAUUGGAUUUGAUGAAAAGGGUCCUUAUGAAGGGUAAAUAGCUUUGGCAUAUCAUCGUUGUGGCUGUCACGUAGGUAAGAAGGCGUUCUUGCUAGAAACCCAAAUCAGCCAUGUAAAACUUGCAACAACAAUUAGAGGACGUCUAACUUGUUUUUGCAGGGUUUGACAUCUGAUGUGAUAUGGCCAAAGUUGUGAUGUUGCAUGUAUGAUGUAUGAGAUGAUCAUGUUAUUGUAAUAGGUUUCACGACUUGCAUGUCGAUGAGUAUGACAACCGGCAUGAGCCAUAGGAGUUGUCUUAAUUUAUUGUAUGAGAUGCAACGCCAUGUGCUUACUACUUUUACUUCAUUGCUAACGGUUAGCUAUAGUAGUAGUGAUAGUAGUAGUUGGCGUGACGACUUCACGGAGACAAGAUGAUGGAGAUCAUGGUGUCACGCCGGUGACGAUGAUGAUCAUGCGAUGCCCGAAGAUGGAGAUCGAAAGGGCGAAGAUGAUAAUGGCCAUAUCAUGUCACUAUAUGAUUGCAUUGUGAUGUUUAUCAUGUUUUACAUCUUAUUGCUUAGAACGACGGUAGCAUAAUAAGAUGAUCCCUCUUAAAAUUUCGAGAACGUAUUCCCCUAAGUGUGCACCGUUGCGAAGGUUCGUUGUCUCGAAGCACCACAUGAUGAUCGGGUGUGAUAGAUUCUAACAUUCGCAUACAACGGGUGUAAGCCAGAUUUACACACGCGAAACACCUAGGUUGACUCGACGAGCUUAACAUGUACAGACAUGACCUCGAAUACAAGAGACCGAAAGGUCGAACAUGAUUCGUAUGGUUGAAUACGAUCGGCAUGAAGUUGCUCACCAUGGUGACUAGUCCGUCUCACGUGAUGAUCGGACACGGGUUAGUCAACAUGGAUCAUCACUUAGAUGACUAGAGGGAUGUCGAUUUAAGUGGGAGUUCAUACUUAAUUUGAUUAAAUGAACUUAAUUGUCAUGAACUUAGUCUAAAAGUUGUCUUUAUAAAUAUUGUAGAUGGCCAACGUCAACCUCAAUUUCAACGCAUUCCUAGAGAAAAACAAGCUGAAAGAUGAUGGUAGCAACUAUGCGGACUGGGUUCGCAACUUGAAGCUCAUCCUUGAAGCAACUAAAAAGGCUUAUGUCCUUGAUGCGCCGCUAGGUGACCCUCCCGCUCCCGCAGAAGCCUAGGACAUUCUGAACGUCUGGCAAACGCAGAGUGAUGACUACUCUCUGGUUAGGUGUGGCAUGUUAUACAGUUUAGAAACGGGGCUCCAAAGGCGUUUUGAGCAACACGGGGCAUAUGAGAUGUUCCAGGAGCUGAAGCUAGUUUUUCAAGCUCAUGCCCGUGUCGAGAGAUAUGAAGUCUCCGACAAGUUCUUUAGCUGUAAGAUGGAGGAGAACAGUUCUGUCAGUGAGCACAUACUCAAAAUGUCUGGGUUACACGGUCGUCUGACUUCACUUGGAGUCAAACUUCCGGAUGAUGCUAUAAUCGACAAAAUCCUCCAGUCUCUCCCACCAAGAUACAAAGGCUUUGUGCUUAAAUACAACAUGCAAGGGAUGGAAAAGACCAUUCCCGAGUUGUACUCGAUGCUCAAGUCUGCAGGAGUAGAAAUCAAGAAAGAGCACCAAGUGUUGAUGGUUAACAAGACCACUAGUUUUAAGAAAGGCAAGGGUAAGAAGAACUUAAGGAAAGACGGCAAAGCUGUUGCCGCGCCCGGUAAGCCAGAUGCCGGGAAGAAGAAAAAGAAUGGACCAAAGCCUGAGACUGAGUGCUUCUAUUGCAAGGGAAAAGGUCACUGGAAGCGGAACUGCCCCAAAUACUUAGCGGACAAGAAGGCCGGCAACGUUAAAGGUAUAUGUGAUAUACAUGUUAUAUAUGUGUACCUUACCAGCGCUCGUAGUAGCUCAUGGGUAUUUGAUACCGGUGCUAUUGCUCACAUUUACAACUCAAAGCAGGAACUGCGGAAUAAGCGGAGACUGGCCAAGGACGAGGUGACGAUGCGCGUGGGGAAUGGUUCCAAAGUCGAUGUGAUCGCCGUCGGCACGCUACCUCUACAUCUACCGUCAGGAUUAGUCUUAAACCUUAAUAAUUGUUAUUUAGUACCAGCUUUAAGCAUGAACAUUGUAUCAGGGUCUUGCUUAAUGCGAGACGGCUACUCAUUUAAGUCAGAGAAUAAUGGUUGUUCUGUUUAUAUGAGUGAUAUGUUUUAUGGUCAUGCUCCGCUGGUGAAUGGUUUAUUCUUGAUGAAUCUCGAUCGUGAUGUUACACAUAUUCAUAGUGUGAGUACCAAAAGAUGUAAAGUUGAUAAUGAUAGUCCCACAUACUUGUGGCACUGCCGCCUUGGUCAUAUCGGCGUUAAGCGCAUGAAGAAGCUCCAUACUGAUGGACUAUUAGAGUCUCUUGACUUUGAAUCAUUUGACACAUGCGAACCGUGCCUCAUGGGCAAGAUGACUAAGACCCCAUUCUCAGGAAUAAUGGAGAGAGCAACCGACUUAUUGGAAAUAAUACAUACUGAUGUGUGUGGUCCAAUGAACGUUGAAGCUCGCGGUGGCUAUCAUUAUGUUCUCACUCUCACCGAUGAUUUGAGUAGGUAUGGGUAUAUCUACUUAAUGAAGCACAAAUCUGAGACGUUUGAAAAGUUCAAGGAAUUUCAAAGUGAGGUUGAGAAUCAACGUGACAGAAAAAUUAAAUGUCUGCGAUCUGAUCGAAUAUUUGAGUCACGAGUUUGGCACACACCUAAGGAAGUGCGGAAUCGUUUCACAACUAACGCCGCCUGGCACUCCGCAACGCAACGGAGUGUCUGAACGUCGUAAUCGCACUUUAUUAGAUAUGGUACGAUCUAUGAUGUCUCUUACCGACCUACAGCUAUCAUUUUGGGGAUACGCAUUAGAAACUGCAGCAUUCACUUUAAAUAGGGCACCGUCUAAAUCCGUUGAGACGACACCGUAUGAACUAUGGUUUGGUAAGAAACCUAAGUUGUCGUUUCUUAAAGUUUGGGGCUGCGAUGCUUAUGUGAAGAAACUUCAACCAGAAAAGCUCGAACCCAAAGCGGAGAAAUGCGUAUUCAUAGGAUACCCUAAGGAAACUAUUGGGUAUACCUUCUAUCUUAGAUCCGAAGGUAAGACCUUUGUUGCCAAGAACGGAUCCUUUCUAGAGAAAGAGUUUCUCUCGAAAGAAGUAAGUGGGAGGAAGGUGGAACUUGAUGAGGUAAUUACACCCCUCUCGAACAGGAUAGUAGCGCAGCGCGGGAAGUUGUUCCUGUGGCGCCUACACCAACUGAAGAGGAAGUUAAUGAUGAUGAUCAUGAAGCUUCGGAUCAAGUUACUACUGAACCGCGAAGGUCCACAAGGGCAUGCUCCGCACCAGAGUGGUACGACAACCCUGUGAUGGAAAUCAUGUUGUUAGACAACGGUGAACCUUCGAACUAUGAAGAAGCAAUGGCGGGCCUGCAUUCCAACAAAUGGCUUGAGGUUAUGAAAUCCGAGAUAGGAUCCAUGUAUGAGAACAAAGUUUGGACUUUGGUGGACUUGCCCGAUGACCGGCAAGCCAUAGAAAAUAAAUGGAUCUUCAAGAAGAAGACUGAUGCAAACGGUAAUGUAACCGUUUACAAAGCUCGACUUGUCGCAAAGGGUUUUCGACAAAUUCAAGGAGUUGAAUACGAAGAGACUUUCUCUACAGUAGCGAAGCUGAAAUCAGUCCGAAUCAUGUUAGCAAUUGCCGCCUUUUAUGAUUAUGAAAUUUGGCAAAUGGACGUCAAAACAGCGUUCCUGAACGGGAACCUUAAGGAAGAGUUGUAUAUGAUGCAACCAGAAGGUUUUGUCGACCCUAAGGGUGCUAACAAAGUGUGCAAGCUCCAGCGCUCCAUCUAUGGGCUGGUGCAAGCAUAUCGGAGUUGGAACAUUUGCUUUAAUGAGGUGAUUAAAGCGUUUGGGUUCAUACAGGUUUACGGAGAAGCCUGUAUGUACAAGAAAGUGAGUGGGAGCUCUGUAGCUUUCCUCAUACUGUAUGUGGAUGACAUAUUAUUGAUGGGGAAUAAUAUAGAGAUGUUGGAGAGCAUAAAGGCCUAUUUGAACAAAAGUUUUUCAAUGAAGGACCUUGGAGAAGCUGCAUACAUAUUAGGCAUCAAGAUCUAUAGAGAUAGAUCAAGACGCCUCAUAGGUCUUUCGCAAAGUACAUACCUUGACAAGAUAUUGAAGAAGUUCAAUAUGGAAAACUCAAAGAAAGGGUUCUUGCCAGUUUUGCAAGGUACGAGAUUGAGUAAGACUCAGUCGCCGACCACGGCAGAAGAUAGAGAGAAGAUGAGUUAUGUCCCCUACGCUUCAGCUGUGGGCUCUCUAAUGUAUGCCAUGCUAUGUACGAGACCUGAUAUAAACCUUGCCAUAAGUUUGGUAGGGAGGUACCAAAGUGAUCCCAGUAUGGAACACUGGACAGCGGUCAAGAAUAUCCUUAAGUACCUGAAAAGGACUAAGGAAAUGUUUCUCGUUUAUGGAGGUGACGAAGAGCUCGUCGUAAAGGGUUACGUCGACGCUAGCUUCGACACAGAUCCGGAUGACUCUAAGUCACAGACCGGAUACGUAUAUGUGUUGAAUGGUGGGGCAGUGAGCUGGUGCAGCAGCAAGCAAGAAGUCGUGGCAGCAUCUACAUGUGAAGCGGAGUACAUAGCAGCUUCAGAAGCAGCUCAUGAAGGAAUUUGGAUGAAGGAGCUCAUCACCGACCUUGGAGUGGUUCCAAGCGCGUCGGGUCCAAUAACACUCUUCUGUGAUAACACUGGGGCCAUUGCCAUAGCCAAGGAGCUCAGGUUUCACCGGAAGACGAAGCACAUCAAACGCCGCUACAACUCCAUCCAGGACCAUGUCCAGAGUGGAGUGAUAGAUAUUUGUAAAAUACACACGGAUCUGAAUAUUGCAGACCCGUUGACUAAACCUCUUCCACGAGCAAAACAUGAUCAACACCAUAAUGCUAUGGGUGUUCGAUACAUCACAAUGUAACUAGAUUAUUGACUCUAGUGCAAGUGGGAGACUGUUGGAAAUAUGCCCUAGAGGCAAUAAUAAAAUGGUUAUUAUCAUAUUUCGUUGUUCAUGAUAAUCGUCUAUUGUUCAUGCUAUAAUUGUAUUAACAGGAAACAGUAAUACAUGUGUGAAUAAAUAGAUCACAAUGUGUCCCUAGCAAGCCUCUAGUUGGCUAGCUCGUUAGUCAAUAGAUGAUCAUGGUUUCCUGAUCAUGGGCAUUAGAUGUCAUUGAUAACGGGAUCACAUCAUUGGGAGAAUGAUGUGAUGGACAAGACCCAAUCCUAAGCAUAGCACUAGAUCGUAUUGUUUGUAUGCUAAAGCUUUUCUAAUGUCAAGUGUCUUUUCCUUCUACCAUGAGAUUGUGCAACUCCCGGAUACCGUAGGAGUGCUUUGGGUGUAUCAAACAUCACAACGUAACUGGGUGAAUAUAAAUGUGCACUACGGGUACCUCCGAAAGUGUCUGUUGGGUUGGUACGAAUCGAGAUCGGGAUUUGUCACUCCGUGUGACGGAGAGGUAUUUCUGGGCCCACUCGGUAGAAUGUCAUCAUGAGCUCAAUGUGACUAAGGAGUUAGUCACACGAUGACGUGCUACGGAACGAGUAAAGAGACCUACCAGUAACGAGAUUGAACAAGGUAUAGGUAUACCGACGAUCGCAUCUCGGGCAAGUUCUAUACCGACAGACAAAGGGAAUCGUAUACGGGAUUAAUUGAAUCCUUGACAUUGUGGUUCAUCCGAUGAGAUCAUCGUGGAGAAAGUGGGAGCCACCAUGGGUAUCCAGACCCCGCUGAUGGUUAUUGGCCGGAGAGGUGUCUCGGUCAUGUCUGCCUGUCUCCCGAACCCGUAGGGUCUACACACUUAAGGUUCGGUGACGCUAGGGUUAUAGGGAAUUGUUAUACGAGGUUACCGAAAGUUGUUCGGAGUCCUGUUGGGGAACGUCGCAUGGGAAACAAAAAUUUUCCUACGCGCACGAAGACCUAUCAUGGUGAUGUCCAUCUACGAGAGGGGAUGAGUGAUCUACGUACCCUUGUAGAUCGUACAGCAGAAGCGUUAGAGAACGCGGUUGAUGUAGUGGAACGUCCUCACGUCCCUCGAUCCGCCCCGCGAACAAUCCCGCGAUCAGUCCCACGAUCUAGUACCGAACGGACGGCACCUCCGCGUUCAGCACACGUACAGCUCGACGAUGAUCUCGGCCUUCUUGAUCCAGCAAGAGAGACGGAGAGGUAGAAGAGUUCUCCGGCAGCGUGACGACGCUCCGGAGGUUGGUGAUGAUCUCGUCUCAGCAGGGCUCCGCCCGAGCUCCGCAGAAACACGAUCUAGAGGAAAAACUAUGGAGGUAUGUGGUCGGGCUGCCGUGGCAAAAGUUGUCUCAAAUCAGCCCUAAUACCUUAGUAUAUAUAGGAGGGAGGGGGAGGGAAGAGGCAGCCUCAAACCCUCAAGGUUUGGCCGAAAUUGGAGGUGGAGGAGUCCUACUCCAAUCCUACUUGGAGUAGGAUUCCACCUUCCCACUUGGAAACUCUUUCCACCUUGUGUUUUUUCCUUCUCAAACCUUAUGGGCCUUAGUGGGAACUUAUUCCAGCCCACUAGGGGCUGGUUUAUCUCUUCCCAUAGCCCAUGAGACCCCUUGGGGCGUGACACCCCUCCCGAUGGUCCCCGGCACCCCUCCCGGCACUCCCGGUACACUACCGAUGAGCCCGAAACUUUUCCGGUAAUGCACGAAAACCUUCCAGUAACCAAAUGGGGUCAUCCUAUAUAUCAAUCUUCGUUUCCGGACCAUUCCGGAAACCCUCGUGACGUCCGUGAUCUCAUCCGGGACUCCGAACAACAUUCGGUAACCAACCAUAUAACUCAAAUACGCAUAAAACAACGUCGAACCUUAAGUGUGCAGACCCCGCGGGUUCGAGAACUAUGUAGACAUGACCCGAGAGACUCCUCGGUCAAUAUCCAAUAGCGGGACCUGGAUGCCCAUAUUGGAUCCUACAUAUUCUACGAAGAUCUUAUCGUUUGAACCUCAGUGCCAAGGAUUCGUAUAAUCCCGUAUGUCAUUCCCUUUGUCCUUCGGUAUGUUACUUGCCCGAGAUUCGAUCGUCAGUAUCCGCAUACCUAUUUCAAUCUCGUUUACCGGCAAGUCUCUUUACUCGUUCCGUAAUACAAGAUCCCGCAACUUACACUAAGUUACAUUGCUUGCAAGGCUUGUGUGUGAUGUUGUAUUACCGAGUGGGCCCCGAGAUACCUCUCCGUCACACGGAGUGACAAAUCCCAGUCUUGAUCCAUACUAACUCAACUAACACCUUCGGAGAUACCUGUAGAGCAUCUUUAUAGUCACCCAGUUACGUUGCAACGUUUGAUACACACAAAGCAUUCCUCCGGUGUCAGUGAGUUAUAUGAUCUCAUGGUCAUAGGAAUAAAUACUUGACACGCAGAAAACAGUAGCAACAAAAUGACACGAUCAACAUGCUACGUCUAUUAGUUUGGGUCUAGUCCAUCACGUGAUUCUCCCAAUGACGUGAUCCAGUUAUCAAGCAACAACACCUUGUUCAUAAUCAGAAGACACUGACUAUCAUCGAUCAACUGGCUAGCCAACUAGAGGCAUGCUAGGGAUGGUGUUUUGUCUAUGUAUCCACACAUGUAAAUGAGUCUUCAUUCAAUACAAUUAUAGCAUGGAUAAUAAACUAUUAUCUUGAUACAGGAAUUAUAAUAAUAACUAUACAUUUAUUAUUGCCUCUAGGGCAUAAUUCCAACAAGUCCCGGAUAAGAUCCCGGACUUCACGAGGAGCUCCGGAAUGGUCCGGAGGUAAAGUUNNNNNNNNNNNNNNNNNNNNNNNNNNNNNNNNNNNNNNNNNNNNNNNNNNNNNNNNNNNNNNNNNNNNNNNNNNNNNNNNNNNNNNNNNNNNNNNNNNNNNNNNNNNNNNNNNNNNNNNNNNNNNNNNNNNNNNNNNNNNNNNNNNNNNNNNNNNNNNNNNNNNNNNNNNNNNNNNNNNNNNNNNNNNNNNNNNNNNNNNNNNNNNNNNNNNNNNNNNNNNNNNNNNNNNNNNNNNNNNNNNNNNNNNNNNNNNNNNNNNNNNNNNNNNNNNNNNUUCGGGGCCCCCCCCCCCCCCCCAGGAGAGGGAAACCCUCAAGGGGGCGCAGCCCCUCCCUCCCCCUAUAUAUAGUGGGCACUUUUGGCCAUUGGAGAUCACACUUUUGCCUCUCCCUCGGCGCAACCCUGCCCUACUUCCUCCUCCUCUUUGCCGGUGCUUGGCGAAGCCCUGCCGGGAGACCUCGUCUCUCCAUCGACACCACACCAUCGUGCUGCUAGAGUUCUUCCCCAACCUCUCCCUCCUCCUUGCUGGAUCAAGGUGCGGGACACGUCACCGGGCUGCACGUGUGUUGAACGCGGAGAUGCCGUAGUUCGGCACUAGAUCGGAAUCACACCGCGGUCCGAAUCGCUGCGAGUACGACUCCAUCAACCACGUUCUAGUAACGCUUCCGCUUAGCGAUCUUCAAAGGUAUGAAGAUGCUCUUACCCCUCUCUCGUUGCUGGUCUCUCCAUAGGAAGAUCUGAAUAUGGCGUAGGAAAAUUUUGAAUUUAUGCUACGUUACCCAACAAACCCGGGCAUGGUUCAUGUGGUCGAGCCGUAUGGGGAGAAACACAAGGAUUCUCAAUGGAAAUAGGGUCCGCGUAUUUGGCCGUGCAUUUUGGGCAUUUGAGCAAUGUGUGAGGGCUUAUCAGCACUAUCGCCAUGUCAUCUCCAUCGAUGGCACGUUUUUGACCGGACAAUUCAAGGGCACUUUGUUGGUUGCAAUAGCAAGUGAUGCCAAUAACCGGUUGAUGCCUUUGGCUUUUGCUUUGGUUGAGGCAGAGAACAAUGUUAACUGGGAAUGGUUCUUGCAUAUUUUGAGAACCAAAGUAUUACCGUUUGAGAGGGAAAUAUGUGUCAUAUCGGAUCGCCAUCAAGGCAUACUUAACGCGGUUGACAUUGUCAUUCCCGGCCAUGCUCCUUUGCAUCAUCGAUGGUGCAUGAGGCAUUUCUGUGCAAACUUCUGCCGGGCAUGUGGUAGCAAGGAGUUGGUGGAUGAUCUUCAAGAUUGUUGUCAAGCAUUUUCGGACAAACGAUUUGCAAGAUUGUACAACGCUUUGCUUGUAAACAAAAAACUUGAUGCAGGUGGGCUUGAGUUUCUGAACAGGCACAUUGAACUUCGGGCCAAGUGGGCACGAGCUUAUGACGAAGAUGGCCGAAGAUCUGGUCAAAUGACAAGUAACAUGGCAGAAUGCUUCAACCGGGUGCUGAAGGGUGUCCAUGCGUUGCCGGUGACGGCAAUAGUUCAAUACACAUUCGACAAGUUGAGAGCAUACUUUCUAAAGUACUCGCAAGAAACAGAUGAUCAGAUUGCGAGAGAUAACAAGAAAAAGUACAAGUACCAGUUUCCACCAAAGGUUGACAAAUGGAUGGUAUUUCAAUCACGGAAGGCUGACUCCCAAACGGCUACCCUGUACAACAACGAGGAUUGGACAUACCAAGUGAAUGAGUCCGGAGGAACGACAAACGAUGGUCAGCAACAGGGCGUUCAAGGUAUCUUUAUCGUUGUGUGAUUGCUCUUGUGGGAGGCCAAGGUUGCUUCAUCUCGCGGCCGAGCCCCAACUGAACUUGUUGUUGAAAACAGUCAAUGCCUUCAGCCACAUCCAUGGAGCAUUCUUGCCAGUGCCGUCAGCGAAGAUAGUCCUAGAGAUGACGUACCACAUGUACACGCGAGCAUACCUCUGGAUCACCUCGUCAUCUGCGUCCUCAGGACAAUGAGCAAAGUUCGCGGCAAUCCAAGUGAAAGGAGCGCCGGCCGGGACUCUAUCUUUCUUCCCUCCAUAGUCUACCUCCGGAUCCUGAGGCGACUUACCAAUAAGGGCCUCCAUUUGUUGCUGCCAUCCCUUAGAAUCAGUGCUCAUACAAAGAGGCUUCCCCUCGAUCGGAAGUGCGGUGAUCAUGGAAAUGUCUUGAAGAGUAACUGUCAUCUCUCCGGUCCGGAGGUGAAAACUAUGUGUCUCCGGCCUCCACCGAUCAAUAAGUGUUGUGACUGCCGCAGCGUUCAGAUUGGGCGUUGACCGACUCACAAGCUGAAUGAAUGGAAGGAGUCUUGUCAUCUCGAUGUAUGGUGUGUACCGCUCAUCGUACUGCAUUACAGACGAUGCCCUGUGAGACCGGAUCUUCAAGGGCAUAAGCUCCUGCAAACAGAUAGGAGUAAGUGAUAUCAUUACAUUUUCAUCUUAUUAAAUACAUGAUUUUUUAUCAUAUGAUCUACUUACCAUUUUCUUCUCCGACAUCUAAUAGGCCCGGUGUUCAACAUCAUAAACAUCAUUCAAAAGCCACACCAUCCUACAAAUCACAAAAAAAUACUCAUAUUCAAAAAAAUACUCAUCUACUAAUCCACUCAUCUACAUAUUACUCAUAUCCUAGCUACUCAUAUGAAUCUACUCAUAUCCUAACUACUCAAAUCCUAAGAACUCAUAUGAAUCUACUCAUAUCCUAACUACUCAUAUCCUAAGAACUCAUAUCCUAACUACUCAUAUGAAUCUACUCAUAUCCUGGCACGUUUUAUACUAACUACUCAUAUGAAUCUACUCAUAUCCUAACUACUAAUACUAACUACUCAUAUGAAUCUACUCAUAUCCUAUCUACUCAUAUCCUAACUACUCAUAUGAAUCUACUCAUAUCAAUCUACUCAUCUACUCAAACAAAAACCUAUUCCAUUUGGAUACAAGGAUGGGAAACGGAAGAGAUUACCUAGUAGCCAACCUUGGGGGAUCAAUCCAAGGAAGAAAUCACCAGAUCUGAAGGGGAUGAGGGAGGGGAUUCGGGCUUGGACGAGAGCCAGCCGUGUGACGCCUGAGGCUUAGGCGUCACACGGCCUGGGGGGUGGGCCCUCUCUGCCAGGUGGUCGGGGGGUGUGGCGCCGAACGGCUAGGCGUCACACAGUGUAGUGGGGCGACUAGAUGUCGAGCGCCACACAAAAUGGUCAGACGGGUGAAAUAUUCCCCCCGAGGGGUCACUCUGUGAGUUCUUUCCCCCGAGGGGUCAUUUUUAUCAAUUUUGUCGACGAUGGGUGGUAUCCAUCCAUGCAACAUGCUAGGUAUGCAUUACAUUUCUUGAUUUCUUUUAUUAACCCUCGCUACUCUGGAAGGAAUUAAUUCCUUUGGGCAUCACCAGCGCAACCCUCAAACCGAACAAAGCAUUCGAUCGUCUAUGGACCGGGACCAGUCCGCGCGUAUGGAUAUAGGAGCGGGUCAUCCAAAGCUAUCUAGGAGUAUAUGCAUUACAUGUCGGGGUUCAACUAACCGAAAGAAUUUUACAAAACAAGACGAAAUUGAAAGUUCGGAUCGAAAAUAGAACAAAACAUCCACAAAUAGCAUGCAAAUAUGUCCAACACAACAAUAGUUCAAAUUCAAUCGGAUGUUUAAGAAGUUUUUCAUGGAUAGAUGAAAUUCAACGAUACUAGCACCAAUUCAAGUAUAUUUUGUCCCACACAUACUGCCCCUUAAGUUUAGGGUUUAAGUUUCAUCCGACGGAAAGUACAUAAAGGCAACACGUGAAGGCUACAUAACGUAUAGAGUAACAAUGAGAGAAUGAAUCAAUCAACAUGUAGAGCAAGAAGAAGUAAAACUUACAAACUCCAUGGUUGCCGUGCGCAAUGACUACAUUGCCAUCAGGUGAUCAACCACACCAGAAAACUUCAUGACAGAGUUCUGGAUGGUGUACAUUCGAUAUGCUAAUUACUUCACGUUGCAUUCAUGGAUGAUGUGCAUGUUGUAGGGUGCAAUGUGAUUUCUCCCAUGAAAUGAACCAUGCACGCGCCCCCAAAAGGGUCCCCUUCCGGUCCUGCCUAUGAAGUCCGCAGAUGCGACCAACCUCGCAUCGCACAACAACUCAUCCUCCAUGAUCGAUUACCCCGACAUCCUUCUUACCUAAAAAAUGACAUGAAGUACGAAAAAGCUCAAUGGCAUUGGACCGAACAACUGCCAGGCAUGGUGGCCGCCAUGGAAGUCGUCAAUAUGUGAGGCGAAUGGUACCUGACUGUGGCAUCUGACAAUGCCUGGGUGACGGACGGAGAGGUAUGACGACAUCUUAAGAGGAGGAGGGCGCGGAUGCAAAGCUAGGGGUGGGGGCAGGGGCAGAGUGGAAUAAAAUGGACCGGGAGGGGGGUUUGAGUGGGAUGGGGAUGUCAAAGUCCUACGUGGCAGCCGUCCAGACUGCCGCAAAGCCCCCUAGUUUGCUUUCAAUUUACAAGAAGAAGCACGUCUAGACCGAUCAUCGGACCUAUAUAGGACCGCAUUGGCUGACAAAAUAUGUCCAGAUACUAGAAUCCAGAUGGAUGCUGAUGGUUUAAGAGUCGGUGUUGAAGAUACCCUUAAAAAGCAGUUUUACUGCCUUUCCUUGUGCAUGUUUAGGCAAACUUCAAGCUGCAGGUGGCCACCUAAUCUACUAUCAUGAUGCUAGUGACUUGAAGUGUCAUAUUAGUCAUUAAAUAUGACCCCCUCAAAGAACCGUCCAUAGCUCUAGAAAUUCAUAAGGCACAAUAAUAAUCUAAUUGGUAAGUGAAGGCGCUACGGUCCAAGACUUGGUGAUGGUGAUUCAGAUCCUAUCAACCGGAGGAUGGUGUGCAUUACUGGAAUAAUUGGCUAUGCUGAUGGCUUUUUGUCGAGGUCGUCGACAUAGCUAGAGACAUGCCGGCAGACCGGAGAAAGCCAUCGACGUAGCUGGAGAUAUGCCUACGGCCAUCGUGAUAGGAAACUUUACCGCAUCGACUUUCUACGGCUCCAUGAUGGUGGUGGUUAUCAAAAGGUCUUCGAACCGGGUCAUCUCUCCUGAAUCGAUGAUUGACUUCGGUGAUGAUACACAAAUUAUGGAUGAUGGAUAUGAUUGACACACUGGGAUGAUGAUGCAGUUGUGGGGGUCGCAUCAAAUGUAGCCACUGGGAUCGCAGAAAAGUGGUGGUGACAACACAUGAAUGACUUUGAUGAUGGUGCUACUCACCCGGUCUCAAUCUCCGGGCCGAAAGCCUAGGCUAGGCUCGAGUUGCUUAUACCUGACAUUGACGAUGUUUAUAUGUCCUUGCUUUGUCGAAAGCAUUGCUCUGAUAUGCUCGACCUGUUUUUUUACGAUGAAUACCUAGAUUCUAUCUUUGGGUGGUUGGGUCCUGUGAUGACGCGCUUAAACAUCGCUCCUUUCUAAAGGUGUUGUUAAACGUCAUCCAUGUGGUUUCAUGAGAUGAUUGUGUGGAUAUGGUAUUUCUUGUAGUUUGUCGUUCACGUAUAUUACCACUUUUAAAUUUUUUUUCCUCUCUAUUGCCUCGCAUAUGCAAAGCUCUGGUCUUAGGACAUCUCAAGUGUCGUCUUCUAAAACGGACACACUAUUUGUCCGCGAACCGGUUCAGACCAGUUCGUUGACAUUGAUACGGAACCGGCCAUCCAAUCUUGCCCCAAAAAUAUUCAUCCUUUAUUUUUUAUUUUUGCAACACUCCGAAAUAUAUUGAAAAUACCUCAUCCGUUUGGAAAUAAAUGAUGUGGUUUUAGUUCAAAUUUGAAAUAAAACCAGGACACUUAUUUUUGAAGCGGAUGUAGUAGCAUAAUUCAUCCAUAAAUAACAUGCCAAUAUGACUAGUACAAAAAAAGUUCAUGCGUAAAUAUUACAUCUGAGGUAGAUGUUCAAUAAUUUUUUAAAAUUCAUUGAUUCCAAAUUCAACGAUACUCGAGUCAAAAUUGACAUCCUUCGUCUCAUGCAUAGGUCCCCUUGAGCUUCAUCCACCAAUGGAUGAGCGUAAAUGGCAUGCCCUCACUCAUGUGGUACAACACGACAACACAUCCAGACAACACAACGUGAUGAUUAUCAAUUUGCAACAUUAGUGAAUGUAUGAAUUAACCAACAUAGAGCAACAAGAAGCGGAAAUUACAAUCUCCAUAUGGCCAACGAUCCCAAAAUGGCCACAUUGUCUCCACACGAUGAAAUGAUGAAGUUGUAGAUGGUGUACCAGCAAUGCGUUAUCGACUUCACAUUGCGGUCAUGGAUCGCCUGCAUGUUGUAGGGCAUGAAGUUCUUUUGCUCAUGAAACAAAACAUGCAUGUUUUGCCAAAUGCCCAACAUCUUGCCGCAUGCUUAUAGAGUCUACAGAUACGACUAACAAUGCAUCACACAACAAAUCAUUCUUCAUCACCAAGUACCCCGCCAUCGCUCUUACUCUUAGUCCAUGUCGGGCGCGCAUGCAAAACCAUAGAGAACAAAGUCGAAGUGAAAGAAAAAUGUCCCAGUAGGAGGAUUUGAGCGGGUCGGGGGUGUUGAAUUUCUACGCGGCGGCGAUAUGGACUCUCGUAUAUAUAGCUCCCGAAUUUACUUCUGGUUUUGCGGGAAAAUGGAUAGCCGAACGCAUCGACGGACAGACAGGGCACCGUCUUGUAUGGCAAAUUGCGUUCAGGCCGCUCGGUUUGCACAGUUGCGGACGGUUUGAGGAUACGCGUUGGAGAUGCCUUUGUGUGACUUUGCUAUUUGAUAAUGUGUUUAUUGUAUGUGUUGAUGUUGUCUGUGUGCAUUCUAACUACGUAAAGGUCGAAUAUGUGCUCAUCAUGUUUAUAUCCUCUUGAUGGUUCAGUUUGAGUCAAUACAAAAACAGUAAGGAAAACCUGAUCAAAAAACUCCAAAUGCGAAACUGUGUUGAAGAAUUAUUGUGCCAUUGCUUGUCCAAGUUUUCUUUCUCUCCUUGGGGCAGCUGUCUCGUGGCGUUUCUUUUUCAUUCUCUCCCUUUUGAAGAAGCAUAACCUUCAGUUUCACAAUGGCUUGGAAAUUUUGAGAGGACGUGUCAUGUUGUCCUGUCCAAACCAUGCGUCGGCCGGGACGGAACGGGACGUUUUGGAUUCGUUCUGUAGGAUAGGGAAGGGUGAGGCGCUGGAUCCAAUUCUUACUUGGGCCUGUGAGUUGGAUAGCCAUUCCAGGCAUCAUCGUUGGGCCACGUCUGACUGUGAUGUCUGCCCUGCCGUGGUCCAUGUAGUUCGCCUGUGAGUCCGGAAAAUUGGAGAGGGUACUGAGUUAAUUUCUAAAUCCUGUUAAUAACACGUAAUUUGUUAUUGGGCGCGUCAGUGGGGAUGUAGCUCAGAUGGUAGAGCGCUCGCUUAGCAUGCGAGAGGUACGGAUGGAGAUACCUGCAUCUCCACCCUAAUUUGCUGAAACUUUUUGCAAACUUCCUGCUGUUCUUUUUCUUCUCUCUCUACAACUAGAACAAGUAGUGGGUACUGACUAACGCAUGGUCAGUUGGCCACGGCCUAUGGCACCCUAGAUUUGUUCAAUUACCUCGUGAUUCGUCAAGUAGUUGGAUCACAUACGAGGACAAAGUAAUUUUCAAGAUUUAAUUGUCAAAACUUAUGAUAUUUUAUCUGCAACUUGUGAUUUUCUCACCCGAUUUUAUCAAGUUUCAAGAGUUAAAAUUUAACAACUAUUUUCAAAAUUCAUGAAACAUAUUUCAAAUGGAUCUUAUUUGAAAGCCCUUGACACGAGAAAAAGGAAUAUGAAUAACUUAAUUUUGACUUUUUUUUAUUUUAUUUUUUUUGCGGAUUUUUUUUACUGUUAAAAAAAGAUAUGAAAGUUUGAAAAUCGAAAGCCAAAGGAAAAAAGCAGGGGCUAGGGCUCGGUACCCCACAUCACAACAUUCCAUUUGAAGCCGCGGAAUAGUAGUAUCCAUCCGGAAGCUUGGCAGUGUUUUGAAGCCGUUCGGAGCAAUCACUAGAUUUGGGCGUGUCUGUUUCGACGGAAGGGGCAUAUUCUGGUACUCGGCACAUUUAUGUUUUAAGCAGUGCUACUGGGGUGCCGGAGCCGAUUGCAGCAAGGACUAGCGAUGGUGCUCGCCCUACCGAGGGAUCGAGAUAACACGACACGUGAAUUGUCAGCGUAUGGCGGUGGGCGAGGAAGGCGCGGUGUGCUGGGCAUUCACUUUCAAAGGAUGCGAUGGCAGAGUCACGCCAACAUGAACUAGACGGAGCAAAGUAUAUCAAUAGGAGAAAAUCUAAUAAUAACACAACUAAUGUCGUGAAUCACGAGUUUGAAUCGUGCACUAUUUCAGCUGCUCUGUUUUGAUCUCUGUUUUUUUCCUAGUAGAUCCAGAAAAGAAGAAAGAAAUACAGGAGAUGAAAAAGAUGUUUUUAUUUCUCACCUAUUUAUUAAACCCACAGUCCAUCCAGUUGGGUGAUAAUUUUGGUGAGUCAAAGGAAUCGGCACGGCUGCAGCCACGGACAAUACAACAUCAUUGGCUCGUCAAUGAAACUAAGAAAAGGGGCCACUGUAAGACUUCAGUAAAGAUCUUUUUUCUCAUGUCCCUCUUAGCGCUGCUUUACUUGAGGUACCCCCACUAUUCCCAAUGUCUCCUGUUCCCAUUUGUUCGAACAUCUGUGUUGUAUCGUCUCUCAUCCUUACUCAAUAUGUGCAUGUGACUAUCGACCUAUUUGAUGUACUAAGCUCUGUUGUUAAGAACAGAAAAAGCUACCAACACCUUGAGAUUAAACGGAAAUAUGAAGGUUGCAAUCUACUCAAAUGAAGAUGUUGUGGUGUGUAUAUAAGGCAAUGACCUGAAACCACUAUUCACGAAGAGCAUAGGCUGGUAGGCAUUCAUCUUUUCUUUUGUGUGCUGAAUGGCAUAGGUUGCACUAAAUGUGAUAGCAACCCAAGCAGAUAAGAGGCCCCAACACAUGGGCGGAGAAAUAAACCCCCCAAUCAGUUAAUUUAAUUACAGAUCGGUGUUCUCGCUCCGGCAUCGAAGACCAUAGUAGUCAGGCUGGCCGGAGUGUGUUUCAAAGCACCUGCUCGCCGUAUCCUUGCCAUGAGUCACUAGGUUGAUAGGCUCUAACGGAGGUCGCAGCAACCACUCCACUCCUCUCGUGUCAAGGCCCUGUGGUCGUAGACGCCGCCUUGCCACUACCUCAUCUCGCAAAUCAAGCACCACCUCUACGUGGGUGGGGGAUCACUUCGUCGUGGGUCACACGUUGAGCUAUGGAGUUUGUCAAUUAAGGGUUUACGACUGCUACUUCAUCAAGGGUUAAUGACUACUUCAGAGGUGUUGGAAUUUUCCAAAUAGGAAAGGUGAUUUGGCAUCAAAGUAAAAAGUAUUUUCUUCAAUUAAAAAUCAAGUUUCGCAAACUAGUAGGAGACACCACACUAACAACAUUAGCAACGCAUGCGAACCAAUUUGUGGUUGGAUGGUGAGAGGGACUGUGAUAUUUUCCAGCCCACCAGGGUUCAAAUCCUGGUGUUCGCAUUUAUUUCUGGAUUUAUUUCAAGAUUUCCAGCGAUGCGCAUUCAUUAGGAGGUGAAGUUCCUGUCCGUGACGACGUGCCUAUGGCGACUUCAUAAAUUUCAAGAUGAUAUAUGCAGGCUCAGUCUCUCGUAGGCGCUUAUAGGAUAGGGUAUGCGUGUGUGUGUUUAUAUGGGCGCGUGUAUAGGAGUUCUUGCGUCUAUAGUGUGUUUAAAAAGAAAACGUUAGCAACACAUACACACAAACAAAAUAGUUAUUUGCACUCAACAAAGGCAAAGGGGUCGUCACUCCUCUUAUUCUUGCUAGUUAUAAGAAUAAAAGCAAAUAUUGAUAGUGAUAACAAGAUAAUGAUAAUAAUUGUAGGAACUUGAAAAUGAAUUGAGAAUGGACAUGCAGACUUGGGCAUGCAUGGCAUAAUAACGAAGGGUAAAUACAUCAUCGUUGGAAACUUGGCAAAAUAGCACAUGGUUAUGAAGAUCAUCCAUGGCAUAAUCAUUACAUAGGCAUUAUGUCCAUGAUAAAUAGCCCGUUAAACUUACUCACCUCUACUACUAUUAAUCCAUCCCAAGACCGCUAUCCAGCAUGCAUCUUAAAGUAUUAAGUUCAUAAAAAACAAAGUAACACAAUAAACAAGAUGACAUAAUGUAGACAGAAUGACACUAAUCAAUAUAAUACGACCUCACAUUUGAUCCUUAGAAGCAACAACACAAAUACAUGCCCUCGUCCUUUAAUUUGCUCGACGGGAUCACCGUAAGGUCGAACCUACUACAAACUUGGCCAAAGUAGACUAAUAGAUCCAAGAGAAAUACAAAGCUAUAAAUUUACGCAAUAAAGAAGGCUCGGAAAUUCAAAAUAGAUCAACAAAUUGUGUGACCAUAAACCCACAAUACAUUAGAUCCCAACAAAUACAUUGCAAAAAAUUACAUCAUAUUGAUCUUAGAAAACAUCAUUAUAUUGAAGAUCAAAAUAAACAGAGAAAGAUAUCUAGUUUAUGCUAUAGACAUGUAGGUCCUGAAGGAACUGCUCACAUAUCAUCAAGAAGAUAGCAAGGUUGGUGAAAAAUGAUUUCCCCCCUCCGAGAGAGUAUCAGAAAAGGUCUCGACAAGGGAGGCUCAGCAAAUAACAGAUCUCCCAGGCACCAGUUUCCCUCAGUCCAGGAAGGGAAGCAAGCUCUCAAGGGUCCUAGGAUAAAGAAGGUAAUUAACAUGUUUCCGCCCGAAGUGAUAGACAAAGGCUUUACCCAUUGGCAAGUAACGCUUGGAGGAGUGGAAAGUAACUGAACUAAUGGACGAGGAGGACGAGAAUAUAGAAA
rnacentral:lncRNA from 1 species